AUCCCCUUCCUGGAAGGCUCGACCUCUCACAUUUCUGGCGUGGAAACGACGCAAAUCUUGUUGGUAGAUGGUCGAGCGGAUCAGAGCCAUCUCCCUUUCUUCCUCUAAAAGGUCGACUGCGUCCUGCCGCGCUUGUUCAGCCUCUGCUUCGUUGUAGAUUUCAACUCGAGGAGCAUUGUGGAGAAGAUCACUCGGCAAGACUGCUUCAGCUCUGUAGACCAAGAAGAAUGGAGUUCUUCCGGUCGACCGAUUAGGUGUGGUCCGCAGUCCCCAAAGCACUGAGGGAAGUUCGUCAACCCAAGCUCCAGCCGCAUGUUUGAGAUCACGCAUCAGUCGGGGCUUCAAUCCCUUAAGAAUCAGUCCAUUAGCUCGCUCUGCUUGUCCAUUCGACUGCGGAUGGGCGACUGAAGCGUAGUCGACCCGUGUGCCUUGGGAGUUGCAGAAAUCUCUGAAUUCUUCCGAGUCAAAGUUCGACCCAUUAUCUGUAAUGAUGCUGUGCGGGACUCCAUAUCUGAAUAUUAGUUCCCUGAUGAAGCUAACAGCAGUACCGGUGUCAAGGUUCUUGAUUGGUUUGGCCUCGAUCCACUUGGUGAACUUGUCGACUGCCACCAGUACAUGCGUGAAACCACUUCGUCCUGUUCUCAAAGGACCGACCAUGUCCAGUCCCCAUACUGCAAAAGGCCAGACAAGUGGGAUGGUCUUCAGAGCAGACACAGGCUUGUGCGACAUAUUCGAGUAGAACUGACAUCCCUCGCACUUAUCCACUAUCUCUUUUGCCAUCUCAUUCGCCUUUGGCCAGUAAAAUCCGGCUCGGUAUGCUUUGGCCACGAUGGUCCGAGAGGACGCAUGAUGACCACAGGUCCCCGAGUGGAUAUCAUUGAGGAUGAGUCGACCUUCUUCUGGUGUUAUGCACUUCUGACCAACUCCAGUCACGCUUUCUCUAUACAAUUGUCCUUUGAUUACGGUAAAGGCCUUAGACCGACGGACGAUCUGUCGAGCCUCUUCCUCAUCCUCCGGAAGCUCUUUUCUCAGGAUAUAUGCGACAUACGGAACUGUCCAGUCGGGAAUGACCACCAAAACCUCCAUGAUCAAGUCGACCACCGCUGGGACUUCAACUUCAGUCGGAUCUGUGGCACUCUUGGGCUGUGGAGUUUCUUCGGUGAAAGGAUCUUCUUUGACUGACGGAGUGUGUAUAUGCUCCAAGAACACACCACUCAGAAUGGCUUCUCUCUUGGAACCUAUCUUUGCUAGAUCAUCGGCUGCUUGAUUUUUCAGUCGGGGUAUAUGAUGGAGCUCCAACCCCUCGAACUUCUUUUCCAGCUUCCUCACUGCACUGCAGUAUCUAGUCAUGGCUGGGCUUCUCGCGUCCCACUCUUUCAUCACCUGGUUGACCACUAAAUCCGAGUCGCCAUAGACCAUCAGGCGACGGACGCCGAGUGAAAUGGCCAUGCGCAACCCAUAUAAGAGGGCCUCAUAUUCAGCCUCAUUGUUGGAGGAAUCAAAGUGAAUCUGGAGCACAUAUCUGAGCUUAUCUCCUCUGGGGGAAACCAGGACAACCCCAGCACCGGAACCAUUCAACAUCUUAGAGCCAUCAAAGAACAUGGUCCAAUGCUCCGAAUGAACUUCAGUCGGCUGCUGCUGUUCAAUCCAUUCGGCGAGGAAAUCUGCUAUUGCCUAGGACUUAAUGGCUUUCUUUGCCUCAAACUUGAUAUCAAGGGGAAGAAGUUCAAUAGCCCAUUUGGCCACUCGACCAGUUGCAUCUCUAUUGUGCAAAAUCUCUGAUAGUGGAGCGUCGCUGACGACUGUGAUGGAAUGAUCAGAAAAAUAAUGAGCAACCUUCUUUGUGGUCAUGUAUAUUCCAUACACAAGCUUCUGAUAAUGAGGAUAUCUCUGCUUGGAUGGAGUCAAGACUUCAGACAAAUAAUACACUGGGCGCUGAACUUUGAGAGCUUUUCCUUCUUCUUCCCACUCGACCGUAAGCACAGUACUGACGACUUGUCCUGUGGCUGCGAUAUAGAGCAACAGAGGCUCUUUGCUGAUUGGAGCAGCAAGCACCGGCUGGGUGGAGAGCAGAGCUUUUAGCUCGGCAAACGCUGCAUCAGCUUCUGGAGUCCACUCGAACUUGUCUGUCUUCUUCAUCAGUCGGUAAAGAGGCAAUGCCUUUUCACCGAGUCGUGAGAUGAAUCGACUUAAUGCGGCCAAGCAUCCAGUAAGCUUCUGGACAUCGUGCACUCGCACAGGGCGUUUCAUUCAGAGAAUAGUGCUAAUCUUCUCUGGGUUAGCGUCGAUUCCCCGUUCGGAAACGAGAAAACCGAGUAACUUGCCACCAGGAACUCCAAAUGUGCACUUUGAUGGAUUGAGCUUGAUAUCAUAUCUUCUGAGGUUGGCAAAUGUUUCGGCGAGAUCAGCGAGCAGGUCGGAACCUUUUCAUGACUUGACAACAAUAUCAUCCAUAUAAGCUUCCACAUUCCGACUGAUUUGAGUGAGUAGACACUUUUGAAUCAUUCGCAUAAAUGUGGCUCCGGCAUUCUUGAGGCCGAAUGGCAUGGUGAUAUAGCAGAAGCACCCGAAUGGAGUGAUGAAAGCUGUUUUUACCUCGUCGGGUCCGUACAGACGGAUCUGGUGGUACCCGGAGUAGGCAUCUAAAAAAGAUAGCCUCUCGCAUCCCGCGGUCGAGUCAACAAUUUGAUCUAUGCGAGGGAGAGGAAAAUGAUCUUUCGGGCAGGCCCGGUUGAUGUGCUUGAAAUCAAUGCACAUUCGGAGCGACUUGUCCUUCUUAGGAACCAUGACGACAUUAGCGAGCCACUCGGAGUGGUAUAUCUCUCGGAUAAAUCCUGCCGCCAACAGUCGAGCCACUUCUUCACCAAUGGCUUUUCUCUUCUGGACGGCGGACCGCCGAAGAUGCUCUUUGACUGGUUUUGCAGAUGAGUCGACUCUUAGGCGAUGCUCAGCCAGUCCCCUGGGAACACCUGGCAUGUCAGCGGGCUUCCAUGCAAAAAUGUCCCAGUUCUCACGGAGGAACUAGAUGAGCGCUUCUUCCUAUUUUGGGUCGAGUGUUGUGGAGAUGCGGGUCGGAGCUGCAUCGGGGUCGGUCGGGUGAAUGUGAACAGGCUUCGUCUCACCGGACGACUGGAAUGCAGACUCUGUGGCGGGUUUCUUUGAUCGCAGCAAGUCACUCGGAUCUGCGUUUUGCUUGUAUUCUUCGAACUCGACCGCUGUCACCUGGGAAUCGGCAAUCUUGGAGCCCUUCUGAAAGCACUCUUCUGCCUUUUUCCGAUCACCGGUGACAGUGAUCACUCCUUUGGGGCCGGGCAUCUUCAAUUUGAGGUACACGUAACAUGGUCGAGCCAUGAACCGUGCGUAAGCUGGUCUCCCCAAAAUGGCAUGAUAUGCACUCUGAAAAUCCACGACCUCAAACGUCAACUUUUCUUUGCGAAAAUGCUUCGAAUCACCAAACACCACGUCCAAAGCUAUUUGGCCGAGUGACUCGGCCUUCUUCCCUGGUAUAACUCCAUGAAAGCUCAUGUUACUAGUGCUCAGUCGGGACAUCGGAAUGCCCAUUCCUUUCAGUGUGUCUGCAUACAACAAAUUCAGCCCGCUUCCACCAUCCAUCAGCACCUUUGUCAGUCGAGUGCCUUCGACAACUGGAUCGACCACCAAAGCUUGCCUCCCAGGGGUGGCAAUAUGAGUUGGGUGAUCAGAUUGGUCGAAUGUGAUGGGUGUUUGAGACCAUUUCAGAUAAUUUGCUUUUGCUGGGGCAACCAUGUUCACCUCUCGGUUAAUGACUUUCAGUCGACUCCUGCUUUCCACAUCUGCAAAGAUCAUCAGAGUGGAGUUGAUAUGUGGAUAUCCUUCCUCACUGUCCUCCUUGUCUUCGGCCUUGUCUGACUCCUUCUCCUUGUCCUUAGACUGUUUUCCCUGAAACUGCUGGAUCAGGAGUCGACAUUGGCGAGUGGUGUGCUUCGGGUAGAUGAUAUUCCCCUCUUCGUCUUUCUUCGUAUGGAUGUGACAUGGCAUAUCCAUUACGUCGUUCCCUUCUUUAUCCUUUACCUUCUUGGGGUUCCAGGAUCCUUUUGGUUUCCCCUUAAACUUUCCUUGAGUCACGGCCAGAGCCUCUCCAGGAGCUGCCGGUUCAGCCUUCCGCUUUUGUUUCCGACUGGUGUUUCCUUUUUCCGACUGACUCGGCUUGUGCUUGCCGCUUCGGAGUCGGUCUUCUUCUUCGCCGUUGGCGUACUUGGUAGCAAUCUCCAUCAUCCGACUCAAGGUCAUGUCACCGGUUCGACCAAACUUCAAACUCAGUUCUCUGUUCUUGACGCCAUCUUUGAAGGCGCAGACUGCCUGAUGAUCAGACACAUUCUCCACAGUGUGGUGCAAAGUGAUCCACCUCUGAAUAUACUCUCUGAGAGUCUCAUUAGCUUUCUGCACGCAGACUUGCAACUCUAUCAACCCAGCUGGUCGCUUGUAAGUUCCUUCAAACGUUCUGACGAACACUCGGGACAGAUCUUCCCAAGUGUAAAUGCUGCUAGGAGGUAAUUGAGUCAACCAAGCCCUGGCAGAACCUUCCAGCAUGAGGGGCAAAUGCUUCAUGGCCACCUCGUCGUUCCCACCACCAAUCUGAACUGCCACUCGGUAGUCUUCAAGCCAAGUUUCAGGCUUAGACUCACCAGUGAACUUGCUGACUCCUGUUGCCAACCUGAAAUUGGGAGGGAUAACUGCGGCUCUGAUAGCUCUGCUAAAACAUUCAGGACCAGAAACAUGCACUCGACUGCUUGUGGGCGCAUCUCUGUCGAGUCCACCCCGAUGAGCUCUGUUCCGGUCGACCAAACCUUGCACGAUAAUGGAUCACGCGUCGAAACCUGGUUCUCUGGGGUCGACUGGAACCCUUCGCCCUAUACUGUACUGACGCCUGUCAUCUGGUUGUCGAGGAGCGUAAGACCCACCCCUCGGAGGGGAAUUGGGCACUCGACGCCUAUCAUCUCGGUCGAGUCUGUCGCCAUAUUGAUCUCGCCGAUUCUCGCGCCCUUCACGCCGCGGAGGCGAUCUGGGGCUGUGAGCCGACUGAACCGUAUUCACAGUGACGGAUCGACUGUGAAUUCUGUUGCGCGACUGAGACACGGCUGAAUUCUGAUCUCCUGCUNNNNNNNNNNNNNNNNNNNNNNNNNNNNNNNNNNNNNNNNNNNNNNNNNNNNNNNNNNNNNNNNNNNNNNNNNNNNNNNNNNNNNNNNNNNNNNNNNNNNNNNNNNNNNNNNNNNNNNNNNNNNNNNNNNNNNNNNNNNNNNNNNNNNNNNNNNNNNNNNNNNNNNNNNNNNNNNNNNNNNNNNNNNNNNNNNNNNNNNNNNNNNNNNNNNNNNNNNNNNNNNNNNNNNNNNNNNNNNNNNNNNNNNNNNNNNNNNNNNNNNNNNNNNNNNNNNNNNNNNNNNNNNNNNNNNNNNNNNNNNNNNNNNNNNNNNNNNNNNNNNNNNNNNNNNNNNNNNNNNNNNNNNNNNNNNNNNNNNNNNNNNNNNNNNNNNNNNNNNNNNNNNNNNNNNNNNNNNNNNNNNNNNNNNNNNNNNNNNNNNNNNNNNNNNNNNNNNNNNNNNNNNNNNNNNNNNNNNNNNNNNNNNNNNNNNNNNNNNNNNNNNNNNNNNNNNNNNNNNNNNNNNNNNNNNNNNNNNNNNNNNNNNNNNNNNNNNNNNNNNNNNNNNNNNNNNNNNNNNNNNNNNNNNNNNNNNNNNNNNNNNNNNNNNNNNNNNNNNNNNNNNNNNNNNNNNNNNNNNNNNNNNNNNNNNNNNNNNNNNNNNNNNNNNNNNNNNNNNNNNNNNNNNNNNNNNNNNNNNNNNNNNNNNNNNNNNNNNNNNNNNNNNNNNNNNNNNNNNNNNNNNNNNNNNNNNNNNNNNNNNNNNNNNNNNNNNNNNNNNNNNNNNNNNNNNUGGAGCCACGCGGAGUCGUCGGCGAUGAAGGUGAGAGUGCCGAGACGGAUCUCUUGACCCCCGACCAAAACUCCAGCAGACACCAUGAUGAAAGUACUCGGAAGAAUCGCAACUUCUCCACAAAAUCGCUAAAACACCUGCCCCACGGUGGGCGCCAACUGUCGUGGUUCUAAGCCUGACAGUAGAGUGGGGGGUAGGUAUGGAGAGGCAAGGUCCUAGCUAUGGAGAGGUUGUAAACACAAGGGAUGUACGAGUUCAGGCCCUUCUCGGAAGAAGUAACAGCCCUACGUCUCGGAGCCCGGAGGCGGUCGAGUGGAUUAUGAGUAUAUGAGUUACAAGGUGCCGAACCCUUCUGCCUGUGGAGGGGGGUGGCUUAUAUAGAGUGCGCCAGGACCCCAGCCAGCCCACGUAGGAGAGGGUUUAAGGUGAGUUAAGUCUGGGGCGUUACUGGUAACGCCCCCCAUAAAGUGUCUUUACUUAUCAUAAAGCCUAUUUAAUCACAGGCCGUUGCAGUGCAGAGUGCCUCUUGACCUCCUGGUGGUCGAGUGAGUCUUCGUGGUCGAGUCCUUCAGGCCAGUCGAGUGAGUCCUUCGUUGGUCGACUGGAAGGCGACCUCUUCUAAGGAUGUCCUGGGUAAGUUACUUGGAUCAGGUCCAUGACCCUACCCUAGGUACAUAACCCCAUCAGUUGCAACUUACGAUUCAUGUGUCUUGCCUCGAGAUUAUCUCGUUACAACAUUCCAUCAAAUACAAAUGAAACUACCAUGGCUAAUGCAUCUGAAUGGUUCACAGAUCAGCGCCAAUAUUCACAUCACAACUGAAGACAAAUUUGUGAGAAGAUGUAAAAAUAAAGAAAAAAAUAUAAUUGAUCGAUGUUGUUCGUAGGCAUGGCUCCAUUUCCUUGGCACAAUGUUCAUUGCUUGGCAGCUAGUUUCACCCAGCUCUGUAGCCAAAAAAGAGGUGUAUGAAGGACACCACAAUCUGAUCAUUUUGUGCAGCUCCACUAAAAUCGGGCGGACUAUCCCUGUUUGCAAAGAUGUCCAGUCAGUGUGAUUACAAUAAUAGUGGAACUAGAUGAUGAAACAUAACACACAUAAAUAGAAGCCGAUCACCUCUACGAUCUCUCUUUAGGACUAACUUCUUGUUGGAGAAGAUUAGGCACGGAGUUGGAUGAGGAGGAUAGCAAAACCAAUCUCCCUUUCCGCAGUCCCACAGAAAUGUAAAAACGUUGCUCGUGUGACAUUUUGGCGGAACUGCACAAAACACUCUUCGGAAAAGUGAUUUGUGCAGUUCACCAAAAGGUCGCAAUAGCAACGAGGUGAAAAUUGAUAGCCCUGUUUGCAAAAGGAGGUCGAAAGGAAACAAUUACUGCCCAAUAACACGAGUUGAAGACACAUACACCGACAAAAAAGAAGCAUGUUCCAUGUAAAAAGGGAAAGAUAGCACAUGGUGGUUUAUCAAAAAUGGUUUGAGGAUGAGAUUGCAAGAUGGGAAGUACGCCGGCCGAGAUACGAUUUAAGCAAACAACUAAAGAAGAUCCACAUGCAGCAACGUGGGAAGAUGGGUAGUGGAGCAAGGCCGUAGGAAGCUGUACCUGAGGGUCGUCAGGAUGUUACUAGGAGGGCGCCAGCGGCCGGGAUCUGCCCAUACUACGGCAGCGAGCAAGUGGCGAAGGCCCUACCGCACCGAAGCUUGGUCAGAGAGAACGGCGGGUACCACAGAUCGGGACGAGCUGCCUCAACGCCGUCGAACGGAGAGACGAUGCACAUCCUCCCUUUCCGCCAGUGGACGAGAUGCGGCCGGAUCACUGACCAACGCUGAGAGAGAGAGGCCACGGCGGCCUUGUGUGAGAUUGUGUGACGAGACUCACGAGAGACAAACCCAUUUUUCCAUUUUCCCCACGGCAAUCAUUUUAUAUUCUAGGCAUGGUACCCGACCCUCCUUCGAGUAAACAACCGCUACACGCGUCAAAUUAUCACGUGGGCUGCCUUUUCAUACAGAAACGAACUCCAUCGUGUUCCCGCGCGGGUGUGGCCGGGAACGAGACGUGAGUACGUGCGUCCUGCGUGCACUUCUUCUUUAGGUGCAGGUACAUACGUGGGUGGGUGUGAGAGAGAUGGUUUGUGCGAAACAGAGGCAAUGUGUUGAUGAUACCACAAUCAGAAAAACGUAACAUAUGCAAUGUGUGUGAAACGGAGUCAUGGACGUGAGAUAUCGAUAGAAUUGAAAACAGAGAUGAAGUGUGUGGCUGCGCGAUUGAUAAAGAGUGCCAUCGAAUUUGUAUUUGCCCACGUCAAAGAUACAGGGCAGAUGGCCUACUGGAAUUUGAGAGGACAGAGGUGCAGUUCUUCUCUGUGGCAUGGAUACCUACCUACAACGUUCGACUAUCGGUGUGUGUGGGGGGGGUAGAGACCGGUCGACUAGUAUAUGUGUGGGGAAGGAGAGAGACCUAGCUAUGUAUUGAGGGAAAUCGAUCGACAUCCAUGGAUAUGUGUAGCAGAGGAAUAAGGUUGGGAAAAAGACAAAGGUAGAGCGUCGGAGGGUUGAUGGUGGAGUGGCGUCUCACAAAUGGUGGGAGAGGCCUGCUAGACAAACGGAGGGUAUGAGUGCAAUAUCAGUAAGAGAGGGCGGGGGAUGUCUGUCUGUCUAUGCACGUGCGUGUGAGAGAUGGGUCGGGAGGUAUUCAAGGAUGAUGAGGGGAGAAAUGCGUAACUACAGAGGAAGAUCAACCGUCGUGUGUCCGAGAAAAGGAGAGAAAUAACUAGCGAGGUAAGUGUAUCGGUGCUUGGUGAAAACGAAUUAUAGUUGACCUGGCUAUAUGUAGGGAGAUUAGUUCAUAUACACGCCUGCAUGUGUUAGAAGAAAAUAAGGUCCGGAGAGGCAGACAGGGGGAUAGGGUGUGGCUAGGAGGUGGUGCGAGAGGCCUACCAUGUCGAGGGGGGAGGAGUGUGCGAGCAUGUGAUUAAUGAAAAGAGGGGCGGGAGUGUGCACCUGCGUGGAAUCGUAUUGGACAUAUGGGGGCAUGGACGGUGAGAAGAGAAGAGGGAAAGUAUAUAUGUGUUUGUUGUAGGCACACUUGGCUAGAGAGGUAUAUCGACUGGUGUGUGCCAGAAAGAAGGAGCCGGGGGCCUACACACACCGCUGGUGGACGACAUAAAGAGAAAUAAUGAACGCGCGCGAUGGAGGGGACGCUAAGGGUGUGUGAGGGGGGCGGGCGUGUGCAUGCAUGAUAGAAAGUUAGCGCUAGCUAGCUACAACUAGAAGAGGAUCGUGAAGGUGUAAAAGACGAACAAAGAUCAUAAUUCAUUAUAAAAAGGUGGAUACGGAUACUUGAAGAAGAUAUCAUAAUGUAGAACAUUGAUUAUAAUUUGGGCUAAUGUGUGGCUUUUGUAACUCAGGUCUAAAUACUUAUCAUAAUGUACGGGGCGGGGCACUAUACUUUGUGUGAUAAACACGGUGUACGUAUGGAACAUGGUUUAGAUUAUGAAUAUAUAGUUAGUACAUCAAAUGUACUAUUAUUUGGAUUCAACAUCAAGUGUAUUCAAAAAAUAGAAAUCGAUUUCAUGUAGUACACAUAGUUCAUAUCUAUCUCUAUAGUAAUCAUGUGGUGUGUUAUUAAGGUAAUACAUGAAUGAUGGUUGAAGUUGGCAACAAUCAUGAUUGUAGAUUCUUAUUGAAAUAGAGAAACGAAUUCAAAUUUAGCUCGAAUUGCAGCGGUAGUAUAGACAUUUGGAAUGCACUAAAAUAUUGGUAUGAGUAGGUUACAUGCAUUAUACAGCAAGCGAAAAAAUUUAAUCAGACAUAACAUGGAUUCAUACUCCCUCCUUCCAUCUAUAUAGGGCGUAAUGAGAUUUUUAAGACCGCCUUUGACUAUUGACAAGAUUAAUAGUACAUGACAUGCACAAUGUGAAAAUUAUAUCAUUGAAAGAACCUUUCACAGACGAAGUUAACGGUGUGCUUUGUGUAAGUUGCAUGUCAUAUAUCAUUGCUCUAAUAUUUGGUCAAAGUUAGCAUCGAAAAACGCAUUAGGCCCUAUAUAGAUGGAAGGAGGGAGUAGCUUUGAAUAGCAUUUGUAUAGUAAAACGGGGCAAGACUCUCUCUUUUUGUAUUGUGAAUAGUUUUAUUUUUUUCGUUUUCUUUUUGGUUGAGGGAAGUGCGAAUUGAUUUGGUACGUACAAGUACAAUAUUACUACACAUUAGGCUUGUCCCUAAAAUUCAACCCGCGUCUUGUUAUAUCCCGAAAAUUCAGAUAUCGUGCUCCCAAAACUGGCGCCUUCACAACCCGCGCCUUGCUCUCCCGAAAUUACAACGCGCACGAAAACUCCCUCCAACUGCCAAAUUCCAACACGCGAAAUCCCCCUUCUAACCCUGAGCCGGAAGGGCCGCUAGUUCAAAUCGGUGGGGGGUACUUUUGUAACACACCCUACAUUUUGGACAAGCGCGUCCCUAAGUCAUGCUUCACCCCCUCCCAUCGCCCCCUUUUCGCCAUUCGAAAUCCCAGGCCGCCGUAACCUCUCUGCUCCAGCCGCGAAACCCCACCCUCCUCCGUCCGCCACAUCACUGUUGCCCAGCCGGAGCCUCUUCCCCGACGACGUCAUCCACCGCAAUAGCUCGACGUCCCUCGUCCACCUCACCGGAUGAGGAUCCAUCGUCCAUCUCGUCGUCCAGCCGGUUCAGCCGCCCCGUCCUCCACCUCCAAGGAGCUGAUCCGAUGAUCGCCUCGUCUAUCGCGGCUGCUCCAUCCCCACAGCGCGGCCUUAACCUGCUCCACCGGAACCGCAGCAUCCUUACUGACUCCUCGGACAAAGCCGAGGCCUACUCGGCGCCACCAAAGAGGUUGUACACUCAUCGCAUCGCACCUUCUCCUUAACUCGACCUCCCAGCACCGACGGUGCUCCAUCCCGCACCCCCAUGGAGCGGCUACCUUGAAGUCAGCACCGCGGGCGACAUCUCCACGGCGGCUCUCCCCCAGUGUGAGGCCCCUUCGGCGGCGGCGGCCAUACCAGCCGGAUCUGCUGCUGCUGCUCCGGCUCUCGUUCGCUCGCUCGCGCAGCUGCUGCUGCUUCGGCUCUCGCUCGAUCGCUCGCUCGCCCAGCUGUUGUUGCUGCUCUCCCCCUUGCUCGUUCUGCUGCUCUACUCCGAUUAAGCCACACUUCAGUCUACUGAAUCGACUUUUGGGUUAGUCAAUUUUCAGGGGUUGGGGGGGGGCUCACCGUAGUUAAGGAAGAACCACCCGCAGCGGGGACGGGGGCUCGCCAGAGAGGUACCCCACUAUCUAUCUUAGGGUUCAGGGUGGGGGCGGGGGGCCUAGAGGGCUGGCCGGGGCGGCGGUGGCGAGUUGUUUCGGGGCGGCGAGGUGGCGCUGCGGCCGGCGGUUCGGCCGGUGGUGGCUGGCGGCUCAGGGGGUGCAGGUUGAAGAUGAACUACAGGCCCUCCCUAAACUACAUGUCAAGUGCCUCUCUGCUACCAUUGCGUUCAGUUUCGACAGUAGCAUUCAGAUUCCACAGUAAAUUUCAGUCUCGACAGUUAAGUUCAGAGUCAACAGUUUUUACCUCAUCUGUUGUAGUCAGGUGGUUUAUGUGAUGUUAAUUUUACCUCCAUUUUACAUCAUCUAUUGGAGAUGCUAUUAGAAUCCCACUUGAGAUUGACGAUGUCUGUCUUGUGCUACUUCAGCCUUGACGUCUUAUGGCUCACCGGAGCUGCUCCAACGACAGAACGAUCCAUCACAACAGAGCAGCGCCCUGGACAACGUCUACAGAUUCCUCAGAUCUUCCUUCACACCUCUGACAGCCACUUCUGCCUCAACUGCUUCAGUGACCAACCCAAUGAUGCUGAGGUCGACACGGCUACGGCAAAGAGGUUGUACACUUGUUGCAUCACUUAUUACUAUACAUUCACGUCGAUCCAUUAGGGCUAUUUUGGUUCAACAGAAAAACAUAGCAAUAGGGAAUUUUCCAAUGGCACUCUACUAUUCAAUUAUUCAUGCAUAUUGUUGAAAGGAAUGAAGCAAAACAUCCACCUGGAUCUACUUUUCAAAAUCCUAUGCAUGAAAACAAGACCAAGUGCAUUAGUGCCAGAAUAACAUUCUAACUGUACACACUUUCAUACGGUUUCUCUUUAUUUUGGCCAUGUUUCUUUGCAUUCCUCUGCUCUUCCAAUUCCUGUAAACCAAACACCCAAGUUGACAGAAAUCCUGUGUUUACAAAUGCUCUGUUUACCAUGUGCAUUUUCCUAUCCUAUUCCGGUGUUUUUCCUAUCCCUGCAUUUUAAGAAUCAUGCAAGCCAAAUGAUCCCUUACAGAAUUACUUCAGUUACAGGUACGAGUCGAAGGGAACUUUGUGUGGUUUGUCCUGCUCCUGCCGUGACGUCGUCCACCUCACCUGAGCUGCUCCAUCAAAGAAACAUCCACCAAACCAGACAUCAUGACUCCUGACCGUCUUUCGCCGCCUUAGAUCUCCUUCCCUGCCGUCGGCACCCACCCCAACGGCAUCACCAUCAUCGACUCAGCAGAUGAACCUGAGGAGUACACGGGUCCACAAGAGAGGUCGCACUCUUUUGCUUCUGCUUAUGUUAUGCAUUGCUUAAACUUACCUGCUACUUUAUCGUCCUGUCCAGCUCUUGGACUCCCAACUCAGGUCCAAAUUAGUGUUCAAACUUGAGUUCUAAAUUAGUUGUGGGGCACAUAUCGAGGCAGCAAUGAAUAGUAUGUCUAUCUAAUAUCUGGUUCACCUAGGGUAUGCCUAUGUUGUUUAUCUUGGGUGGGAAACAAAUAGUAAAGCAAUCAUCAUCUGUCUUUUUAUUAAUUUAAAGCAAUCAUUAGCCUGCUAUCAUUAUUUUUGGAUCCAUCCACUGGUUGUUACCAUCACUCUAAGUUUCUGCAUGCUCUCCUUACAUAAUCUCACCAUAUUUUUUCGUAUGCAUGUCAGAUAUUGUACACAGUCAUGCUGAACAUGUAGAGAAAAAUAAAAGAGUUUUUGCGCGGCAAUACAAUGUCAUGCAGACAUCGCUUCAUGGUGGGUUCAAUGGCAAACCCCUCCCCACCCCUCUCCAGAUUGUAAUCCAGAGGAAGAUAUCUGUUAUGAGGCGGAUUCAGACGCCGCUGACCACUCCUAUUUACCCCCCAAGGUGUUUGCUCUACCUUGGCAUGAUGAUGUUAGUCAUAUCAUGCAUAUAUUGCCUUGCAGUGCCUACUUUUGACAUCAUAUAUGUCAUCUGCUUAGUUUAGACAUGUUCUGUAAUGCCACCUGUUUAGUUUCUAUAUUAUAUAUGGGAAUUAUGCAGUCUCAUGUCUUUUAGCCAGCCAUAAUAUAUGUGAAAUGUGCAAUGCCAUCCUGUUUAACCAGGCAUCAUAUAUUUCAAUGAUAUCUUGCCCAUCCUUUUCUUCAUUACAUUUCCAUUUGUCGACAAUGUUUGUAGAUUAAACUACUCUUCCUAUGAAUCAGCCAUUUGGGUGGGAGAUGGAAAAAUCUGGAGUGAAAACAAGGCCUUCAGAGCAGACAGUGCUACCUGUCGAAGCAGAUCUCUUGUUGGGUCCCGAUAGCUCCUCAGAGAUGGAUUCAGAGACAGAUGACCAGUCCUAUUCCCCUACUGAGGUGUAUGCUCUAACUUGGCACGGUUAUACUGCUCAUGUCAUGCAUACGGUGUCUUGCAUUGCAUAGUUUAGACAUCAUAUACACAAUACUCAACACCAUGUUCUUAGUUCAGACAUCAUAUCGAAUGCCCUCUGUUUAGCAUAUAAAUCACAUAUGUGAAUUAAAUGAUGUGAUCCUGAUUACUUAGAUAACAUGUAGGUGAAUUAUGUCAUGCGAUCCUGUUUAGUUAUUCAUCAUAUCUUCGAAUUAUGUUAUGCUAUGCUAUCCAGUUUAGAUAGACAUCAUAUAUGUGAAAUUAUGUCAUGCUAUCCGUUUUAGUUAAACAAUAUACAUGUCAACUAUUUCACGCCCUCUUUUUUCCACACUAUCUAUUGCAUCUGUCUCUCAUACAAUGUCUGUACAUUCAACUAUGUUUCAUGUUUAUCAGCCAUUUGAAUUGGAGCGGCUGAUGCCAGUAUCUAGCGGAAUAAAAACACGGUCUUCAAAUAAAACAGUGCUACCUCUUGGUGGAGAUAGCACCCCGGUUGUACAUGCACAAGAACCAGCCCUACCACACAUAACCCAAACUCUCGCAGAUUGUACCCCUACUGCGAUGGACAGAGAACCAGCUUCACCCAAUCUAACCCCAACCCCAGCCGAUAGUAACCCAGUUCCUGUUGACACGGCACUAUCUCCACCACAGAGCUCCCAAACAAGAGCAGUUAGUAAGGCAGCUCCAGUGCCCAAAGGGCCAGUACUAUCACGGCGAACCCCAACUCCACCGAUUAGUACGCCUAUUCCUGCGGAGGAAGCACAACCAGCCAGUCAUAGUUUAGCAUCUAUCGCAUUUGAUGUUGUUAAAUCGUAUGUGCGUAUCUUCCCAUCCUGGAAAUAUUAUACUGAAGAUGAAGGGAAAUGCCAGUUGCAGGUGUUUGUCCAGGAGUUAUGUGUAAGUAAUGUUAUUCAUGGCAAUUACUUUGCUUCGUCCCAUACAUCCUACAUCCAUGAUGGUUAUAAUACAGUAAAUUUUCCCAUUUUUCUCUAUAGAGAAGGACCGAUUUGGAAAUUCAGGAUGAGAUAACCUGUGCUAAUACCUCUGCUAUCUUCAAGAAUGCUUGGUGGCAAUAUCGGAAUUACCUGAAGAAAACGUACUUCACCGGCAAAGAAACUCAUCAAAUUCUCUUACGUUCUCUUGAGACACAUUUACUGGACGAUGACUGGGAACGCCUUGUUCUGUACUGGUCCUGAACCAAGAAUGCGGUAAGGUCUAUGAGCUCAUUUUCUAUUUUUAAGUAUUAUAUUCUUGCGUCUUACUAUACUCUGUUCAUGUAGAACAAGUGCCUAAACCUGAAGAACAACUGUUCUAAUUUAAGAUUCCAUUGCUAUCAUAGUUCAAAAAAGCGCUAGGCGUUAAUUGUGCGUUUUGCCACCGCCUUGCACUUUAGUGACCAAAACGCAUGCUUAUGCGCAGUUAUGCACAGAUUAAGCAUAGUUAUGCGCAAUGCGUUUUGCCAACGCCUAGAGCCUAGGCGCGCUUAAGCGCUCGCUUAGGCGCGCCUUUUUAACUAUGAUUGCUUUGCUCUUGUAUCACUGUAUUUACUGAUACAAACUUAUUUUUAAAUUGAAGGAUCCAAUCGAAACUCCAAUGGCACAACAGGUAUGUUCACGCAUGUUUCUUUAACACGUUUGCUCUUAUCAAUAGCUCUUUUGAUUUCAAUUUCAAUUGUAUAUACAGUUGACUUUCAUAUCAUGCACAUUACUAGCAUCACAACAGAGCCAAUAGUGUUGUUGUACAUGUAGACCGUGGUACCCAUCUAAAAUCUUGUUGUGCCGUGUAGUUUCCCACGCUUUGUAUUCUUUCACUGCUGCUUUGUCUUGAACUGAUAUGAUUUGAACCGUGUCUUUAUUUUUAUUUGGCAAGACAAUGCAGUGACCAUAGGACAUAGAUAUAUGUUUGUUUGAUACUUUUAUUAUGUACUAGUACUUGGUAAUAGAAGACUUGGUAGUUUAAUCGUGUCCACCUUACUAAUGAACUGGUUCACCAAAAUGAGUUUCAUAUACUAGUACAUGCUAAACUUGUUAUGUGUCUGCUUGUUUCUUCUUUUAGAAUGCUGACAGAAUAUUGGGGAAGAGUGACUUAUUAAGCAAUGGUAAUGAAAGUAAUGUAAAUAAGGUUCAGGAUAGUGACACAUCCUUGUUGGUCUCCAACAAAGCUGAUAAAACAGCUAAGGAAGACUAUCUUGAAGACAGCAAGACAACCCCAAAGUCCUGUCUUGGUUUAGUGUUCGAGUUACUGGCCACUACCGCUUGCACAAGCUAUUCAAACUCACUGUCUGAAUCAGUUCGGUUUCUUGAGUCUCAACUACAAGAUGAAAGACAUCGAUCAGCUGUGCUGCGACAAGAAGCGGAAGGACUGCGAAAGUCCCUGGAGCAUUCAUAUGCAUACUUUCUGCUGCAACAGCAAGCGUUGGAGGAUUUUAGCGCCAAACAGGACAAAGCUAAUCAGCUUGCUAAGCUUAUUGCCAGCAUGGUGGAUACCCAGGAUAACGUUUCUUGAGCUCUUCUGAAGUUGUUUCAGUUAUGCUCUUGUUUUGCUGUCGCGUUUAUUUGCACUGGUGGCCAAUUUUGACGGCCAGUGUAUGUAAUAUGUUGCUUUGUUCCCUAUAUUUGCACAGGUGGCAAACUUUGAUGCCCAGUGGAUGUAAUAUGUGUAAUAGCGGUAAUAGGCUAGCCUUAAUUGCUUGCUUAUUUAUUUUCUUAUUGUCUUGUUUAGUUGUUUGCUUGUAUUCACUGCAGUUCUUUUUCUGUGUUUUUCUAGUGGCCACAAUAGCCUAUUUUUGGUAACUAGGCCAAAAUAAUCAUGGCAACACACAGACUGUUGUAACCAUGGGCCUCCUGCAGGUCGUAUGAUCCAUGAGCCUUCGUUCGGCCGUAGGACCAUUGGCCUUCUAUACGGGUCGUACGAUCCAUCGGCCUUCUAUACGGGUCGUAGGGAUCAAUGGGCCUUCUACGGGCCGUAGGGUCCAUGGGCCUUCUACGGGCCAUACGAUCCAUGGGCCUUCUAUGGGCCGUACUAUCCAUGGGCCUCAUACGGGCCGUAGGAUCCAUGGGCCUUCUACGGGGCGUAUCAUCAUUUCGCCAAUCAUGGGCCGUACUAUUUGUGGACCAUAACGGGCCAUUAAUAGGCCGUAUUUGAUAACUCUAUGAAAACAGUCCAACGGGUUUUUUUUUGACAUGAAUGGCCCAACGUAUUAACGGUCCGCAAACGGGACGACUGUAACGACGGGCUGAAUUUGGCCCACAAGCAGAAAAUGACAGUAUCGGGCCGUAUGUAACCGAAUGCUGCAAGUGAGCCCAAGAAUCAAUGGGCCCUGAGAAGGCUGAAAGAUAACUUCGGCUGGAAACGGCCCAAUGGAAUAACGGGCCGUUAAUGGGCAUAAAGUGAUACACUGUUCAUUACGGGCCAGUUUCACCAUGGGUCGUUAAUGGGCCAAGAGUUACAAAGGUCCUCAUAUGGGCCGAAAGAAGUCAUGGGCCACACAUGGGCUGGAAGUUAAAACGGGAUGAAUCAUAUUGGACGACCCAGAUGACGCUACUGGGCCUAAUUCGGAUAGGGCGUAACGGGCCCUGGGUUAGCGGGUUGUAAAUGGGCUAUAUGUGAACAGGCUGUUAACAGGCUUUCCGUGGGCCGGCCCGCCACCUUUUGACCAAGUCAAACGGGCCGGCCUUUUCACAGGAAUGGGCCUCUGUUGGGCCGUCCCACGUGUCGCCGUAUCAUAGGCGCCUUCGGUCCAAUGAGCGGAUGACAUCUGUCCCAACGGUGAGCCGACACGUGUUUCCUCUAGCCAAUGAUGAUUUUACACGUGGAAAAUCCCCAUUGGUCGGGGCUGUUAACGGGUUAUCGGAUCCAAAACCCGACCCGAUAGCUUAACAGCGUUUCGUUAUGGUGGAUGCCACAUGUCGGUCACCCUUGACGAAAGCACUUCUGUGAUGCGCGAUUUAUCAUCAUGGAAGUGGACACUUUCGUGAUGAUAAUUUUGGUAAUGUCAUGGAACACUUCUACGACAGCACAGGUAUGACUAUCUUGAUUCUGUCAUAAAUUAGUCAUGGAUGUACAUGCAUGACAACAAACGCGACCUACUGUGACAAACACGUAUCAUCACGGAAGUGUAUUUUUUUGUAGUGCCUCCUUUAUAUACGUGGGCAGGGGCCACCCCAAAGACACACAAGUUUCUCUUAACCGUGUGUGGUGCCCCCCUCCACAGUUACACACCUCAAUCAUACCAUCGUAGUGCUUAGGCAAAGCCCUGCACCGGUAGCAUCAUCAUCACCUUCACCACACCGUCGUGCUGACGGAACUCACCCUCGUCCUCAACUGGAUCAAGAGCACGAGGGACGUCAUCGAGUUGAACGUGUGCUGAACGCGGAGGUGCCGUACGUUCGGUACUUAAUCGGUUGGAUGGCGAAGAAGUUCGACUACAUCAACCGCGUUAUUGAAACGCUUCCGCUUUCAGUCUACGAGGGUACGUGGACACACUCUCCCCUCUCGUUUCUAUGCAUCACCUAGAUAGAUCUUGCGUGAUCGUAGGUUUUUUUUUUGAAAUUACCGCGUUCCCCAACACAAAAGAAAUCGGAUAAUACCCAAAGUAAUGUUAAGAUGAGCUUUUUAGUCUUCUCUCACUCUUUUUGAUACCACACUCCAUCAAAUGUGCCACACACUGCCUUUGAUUUUUGAAAGCCUCAUAAUGUGCUCUAGCUUUAUUGUGAGCACUAACAUAUUUACCGACAUGUGUAUCCGGAACACUAGGUCAAUCCUUCCAAUUUCUAAAUCCUACCCUUGUGAAUGCCUCAAUGCCAUUUUUUCGCUCUUGGGUCUUAAAAAGAAAGCAAUAGAAACGAAUGGCUGCUUCUUUAUCAACACUAUAUUCCAGCCAGUCACCAUGCUUCUUGAACCAAUUUGCAUGAAAGCUUCUUUUUUCAAGAAUUUCCUGGGGGUAUUUUUUUAUAUUUAUGAUCAGUUGGUUGGCAUGGACCCACAUUUAUAUAAAUCCAUCUAGCAGCAUCUCUAAUGUCUGGAACUAAACUUUCAAUACGUCUCCUAAGACCAAGAUCAGGUUCAGUAACACAUAAUUGAGCACAUGCAUCAGUAGAGAUACCAUGAUUGUUACUACCGCGAGUUGACAUUGUAGGCGGGUUGCUUGAAGUCGACGGCGGUGGUCCCAUUUCUAUGGUUGUUUUUUGUGUGGUGUUGAUCCAGUCCCCUCAGCCUCUUGACUCCCUCCAUGGCAAAUGAUCGGUGUAGACACCUCCAUUGCGGACACCAGUGAAAAAUAAAACUCUAUCUCCAUAUUAUUUUUGUACAACAUAAAAUGAAAUUAUCAACUACUAUCUCCGUCUUGUUUAUUGCCCCCUUCUUAUUUUCUAUCAAAUUUUGACCAUAGAUUUGACUAACAAAAUAUUAAUGCAUGUCAUCCAAAAUUAAAUUGUUUAAUUAUUGAAAAUACUGGUCAAAAUAUGACGCUAAAUAUGAGGAGGACUGAUAAACCAGGGCAGUACAUCAAUUUGAGUUCAACAAUACCCUAGAUAUAUGACUACACACACACACACACACACACACACACACACACACACUAUUUAUGAUACUACCACUACAAAUGUUAUACAGAUGGAAUAUAUAUUUUUCGUGUAGCCAUCUGGCUUCACAGAGUAUUUUGUUCGCGGGAAAAGGAGUGGAAAAAACGUGUUAGGUAGACGCGAGGAAAUUCGAAAUCCAGGCAACACGACCACAGCAUUUGAACUUGCAACACCAGGUUACGCGGGCAUCGUAAAAUUGAAAUGGCCGCACGAGAGCCCCCUGCCAGUCAGCUGCCCGGUGAACCCGAGCGUCUGCUUCUCCUCGUCGAACAUUAGCAGGUUCUGCUGCAUCUGAAACCCUCCGAGCACCACGGCCGGCGCGGCAACGCCGCCAUACCAGGACUUGUCCCCCGCCUUCAUCUCGACGAAAGCGAAGCACGCCGUGGCGCGGUUCACCUGCGCCAUGGAGUUGAUGCCGAACACCGUCCAGUUCCUGCCGCCUUCCAGCAUCAGCUCGACCGUUGGCACAAAGUAGCCGAACCGCGUCGGCGAAAGCCUGGACGAGUUGUAGCACAGCUCGAACGGCGCCGCAGCCGGUGAGGGGACCCUCGCACCGGUAGUAAUCGCACCCUGGCGUUCCAUGGCCUGGUCGAACGCGUUGAUGAGCGGGCGGUACACGUCGUGGCGGAGCUCCGCGUACGGGAUCGUCGUGGAGAAGCCAAUGGUGAGAGGUGCGUACGAGUCCAGCGGCACCCGCGCUCCGUCCACGGCGAUGCCCCUGCUGGCCGAGAUGUAGUAGCCGGGGGAUUCCCCGUGCUUGCGGAGCGGGGUCCUGCUGCCAAGCAACUCCGUGAUGGACCGCCCAUUCGCCGCGAAGAGCGGGCCACCGCCGAAGAUGGCGACGCCGUUUCCUUGGCCGCUUGGGAGGCAGAGCGCGAACGAGUUAGCGACGCCCUGCGUGCGCGAGACCUGAGCGGGGAAGGCGAGGCCGGAGCGCGCGAGCCCCGCGACGCCGACGGCCCCCACCGGCAGCCCCGCUAACAAGGAGUCCAGCGCGCAGGACGUCACGGCGGUGAACGACACCGGGCCCAACGGGUUCCUUCCGUCGGUGGCGUUGGCGGAGAGCGUGACGCGCGUCAUGUCCCCUGACGCGGUGUCGCCGGAGACGGGGUUGUGCGGGUGCGCGGUGCACUUGCAGCGGUAGGGGUUGUGGGCGUCCGGCAUGCCGUAGCCGGUAUGCUGGCAGUUGGGCGGAUGGAAGCGGUGCGCGCGCAUGCAGUCCAUGUUGUUGCACUCGAGCGUGUCGUGGGAGGCGCCGCCGUCGCAGGUGGACCAGACGAUGGGGCCGGAGAGGUCGAGGACCAGCGGCAGCGGGCGGCUGGACUUGACGGGGAUGGUGUAGAGGGAGGUGCGGCAUCCCUUGUGACGGCCGUCACGAGCGGCCUGCCGCCGCCGUCGCCCGCCACCGUGCAUGCAAGCACACAGAGCGAGAUGGCGACGAGGACGAGGUCCUUUGGUUGCCACAUUUUGGAAUUUGGACUGGCCUGUGCUGUGCUGUGGUCGAUCCAGCAGGUGCCAUUGCUAGCUCCUUAUAUACCGCGCGCGGAGCACUGUGGCUAGAUCGACAGUGUGUGUACGUGAGAGACGAUGAUGUUUGCUGGUUUUCUAACCAAGUUUUUGGCAGGAAGUGGAAGAGUAGAGAGUAGACCCGAUGAGCGUGCCGGGAUUCUCGUUGAUGGCCAUGAGCGAGAGCGACGAGUCCACGAUGAUAUGCACUAGUAUACUGAUCCGGGUGGCGUACAUAGUAGACCUAGCUGUCUGAUAAUUAUGGUCAAAGGGUCGAUCAAUUCAUAGAGGAAACUCUACUUGGAUCCAGAUCUCUCCGCCUCCGCGCAACCAAGAGAAGCUCUCGCACGUGGUUUCAUGUGGAAUUUGCGUUUCAUGCUCUCACGGAGACUGCACUCUGCGGUGUUCUCGCUGCGUGCCGUGAAGGCUGGCCGCCGAGCCACCUCUUCCGUGCGUGUGUGUAGCUGGCUGCCGAGCUCCGGCAUGCAUGCGUCACUUGGCCGCUGAGCAGGGCCGGUCUUAAUUUUGGGGCCCGGGCAAAACUAAAAUUAGGGGCCCUUCAAUAUAAUGAUGACAUGAUAGCCAAUAUGCUAGUUCUCAAAAAAAAAGCCAAUAUGCUAAUAUAUUACGAAAAACAUUUCAAGUGCAUCAAUAUUGCAUCAAACAAUAUAUGCAUAUUACCUUAAAAUCAUAACAUUCUGAGAUGCAUCAUUACUAAUUAAUCUUCAUCCAGUAAUUUCUUCUCGGUGGAUAAAAUUGCACGAUGUAUACUAUAUAGAUUAGGUGAACAUGCCAAAAUUUAAAGAAACAACUGGUAAUUCGAAACUAAUAAAAAGCUACAAAAGUACCCAAUCAAUAACCAUACGGCAUGAGUGAUGGGUUACCUAAAAAAGUUCUUACCGAAUAUAAAGUCAAACUCGCAAGAUGCAAAUGCAUCACUCAACAGUGUCCGUUCAGUCCAUCAUCGUUGUCCUGUCACAAUAAAAAAGAUGCAAUAUCGAUGUCAUCUAUGAAUUUCUGUAUAUCAUCAAGGCACUUAUAGGCUAUUAGGCUAACCUUCUCUCCCAUUCCUAACGUGGCCGCGCGGACAGCAGAAGACUGCCGACUGCCACCGGGCGUCCCUGUGGCCUCAUAGAUCCUGUUCGCCUAGCCUGUUCCUGGCGGCCGCGUGCUGUGGUUGCAUCCGCUGCAAGGAGGUGAACUGAUGGCGAUGCGAUCAGGCAAGGCGACGGCGCUGUAAGGCGAUGAAGCGAUUAGGCAAAAUAGCAAUUAAACUGUCUUGCGCCGGGUGCCAGAUCCGUGCAAGUCGUCAGCGCGAGCGUCGUGCGUGAUCGGCAGCCAGUGAUGCGUCGCUCUAGAUUUCAGGAGUCCUCGUUGUGUGCUUAUAGCGAUCUAGCAGUUGCUACUUGGGCCAGGCCACGCAAGGCAGAACAUGCAACAUCUUCUUUUUUACUGCAAGCUUGAUUUAGAGAAGNNNNNNNNNNNNNNNNNNNNNNNNNNNNNNNNNNNNNNNNNNNNNNNNNNNNNNNNNNNNNNNNNNNNNNNNNNNNNNNNNNNNNNNNNNNNNNNNNNNNNNNNNNNNNNNNNNNNNNNNNNNNNNNNNNNNNNNNNNNNNNNNNNNNNNNNNNNNNNNNNNNNNNNNNNNNNNNNNNNNNNNNNNNNNNNNNNNNNNNNNNNNNNNNNNNNNNNNNNNNNNNNNNNNNNCCGUGGUUGGCGUGCAUUGCACGGUCCAUCAAGAUGUAUUUUUUUUCACAAAACACCUGUUGUGAUUGACCCAUGCGGGAGUAAUCUCAUGUAUAAAAAUUAAAAAAUAAUGAUAUCUCGAGAAAGAGGAGAGAUAAGGUGGGAAGAAGUGGGGCGUGGUGGUGAUUUAUGGUCGGACUGAGCGGAGACAUAGGGAUGGACGACGUCGGCAGCAGCCACCAUGCCAAAUUAUUUCAGAGGCUUCUUUUUUUUAAUUGCUCAACAAUGAGAUUGUGGGAGAUAAGAAUGAAUGAGGGAAAGCCUUAUUUGCAAAUAUGAAAAAAGGUGGGAGUAUCUUUUUACAAAAUUGUCUCGGUUUUCUUUUUCCUGUAACUCUCUCUACGCUGCUUGCCGGCGUCACAAUAGCUACUGGGACGUCCGCGUCGUUCCCAUCAUUCCCGAUUGGGACGGUUGCUGCUGGCCCGAUGUUCUCUCAGCUGCUAGGCCAUGCUUUCUUCAACACCAACACCGUCAUGCCGGCAAUCCUCUUCACUUGGUCUGCCUUGUCCGCCAUAUCAACCACGGAGGGCUCAGCUCCCAGAUCGGGCAGCCCCUGCCUAGCUAAUCCAACGGACCUGCUGCAUCGGCCAUCGCAACCACGGGGGGAGGGCCUAUGCCAACUCCCAGAUUGGACAAUCCAUGCCUGCCUCGGCUCUACCCGACCUCACGGUCCAUCCUUCGGUUGAGGCACCUCUGUCGCCUCCAUUUCACUUCGGCCAUCUUCACACCGUCAAGCUCUCGGCUGACAACUACCUCUACUGGCGUGCACAACUCCAACCUCUCCUUCGCAACCGUUAUGAUGCGGAGCAUCCGUCGGUCAUCCCCAUGGACCUUCCGUCGCCUCACCAAGCACCAAGAGGACCCAUGACAAGAGCACGAGCUCGAGCUCUCGAGACCGAGGUGACUUCUCUCCUUAGUAAAAUAUCAUAUGACCCUCUCGAGACAUGGCUACUACCUCAAUCCGGAAUGUUGUGCAUGAUUAGGUAUCAGGAGGACCCUCCCGAGGAUGCCCAUGAAGAUGGACAAGACCCCAAGUCCAAGGAAGAAGUGAACCAAUGGAAGAAGGCAAAAGAAGCUUCCAAGCACCGGACAUCCGGCCAAGGUCCCGGACAUCCGGUCCCUGGAGAUCCACACGGCUAGCCCCUGCAGAAGAAGGCUACGGCGACCGGACAUCCGGCCUCCAGCCCGGACAUCCGGCCACCCACCGGAAAUCCGGCCUCCCGCCCGGAUAUCCGGCCCAAGCAUCCCGAAUGCAUCGAAGAUGGCCCCAACAGCCCAGACAUCCGGCCUACGCACCGGAUAUCCGGUCCCUCCGGAAGCACCGGACAUCCGGCACCACCAGCCCGGACAUCCGGUCCCUCGUGAACCACCAGACAUCCGGCCCGACGCCCGGACAUCCGGCGCCCCUGCCUGCGCGCAGCCUCUUUGGGCAGAGACCUGUGUAUCCCUUCGCUUCUUGACUAUAUAUACUCCCUCCUCCCGUACGUUUUAGGGUUAGCAUUGAUUUAGCUCAGAUUAGAGAUAGAGCUUCGCUCAUCCAUCGGAUCUCCUCUUCGUGAGAGACCGCGGCCUCCUCGGAGAAGAUCCAAUCGGAUUCAAGACCCCCUCGUGGGAAGAUCCCCUCGCAGAUUCAAGACCUCCUCACGGAGAACAUCGGUUACCUUUGUAUCCUUACCUUUGUUGACUUUGGAUCUCCUGUAUCUCUUUGUGUUCAGUGAUCUAGCACUCGUGUGAUUGAUUCUAUGUCGGUUUAGUGUUUCUCUCUCGUUUUCUCCGUGUUUCCCCUUCGUGCUUCCGUGUAUUCUUCGUGAAUCCAUGUAGGAUCCCCUCCAAACGUGAAAGAUCGUCCACAUAGGGUUCCGCCCUACAUCAUCUUGGUAUCAUGAGCCACGUUGAUGACGUUUUUGGAGCCCCUACCCCUCCUUUUCUAGCUUGAUUUUGUUGUUUUCGUCCUAAAUCCGAAAAUUCCCCACCAAAAAUAGCCCCAAAAUAUUUUGUGAUUUGUUGGUGAGUUGAGAUUUUGUUGGAUUUGGUCCAUGGAUUUGUGUUGCUGCGUGUGGAUCUAGCUUUCCCCACCCUCCCCACCCUUUUUCCAUCCACCAAUCCGUCCAAAUUUUGCCCCGGAAUUGCGAAUUUUCCCGUGGAGUUCAUCGUGUUCGUCCCCGAUCCAGGAGCCCGGACAUCCGCCGUGUCCACCGGAGAUCCGGUGUACCGGACAUCCGGCGUCUGGCCCGGACAUCCGACCCCUGGCAGCAGCAGUUCCACCCCGCGCCACCAUCCACCAUAUCCUCGCCCAAUUUUGCCCCGGAGCCCACGUCUACUUCCGCAUAACCAUACCACCUUCAACAAACACCACCACCGCUAACCGCUACCUCCUAUGUCGAUUUUGACACGUUUUGGUCUUUGAGAGUUUGGGUUGUAGUUUUCCGUGUCCUAUUGUGUUUCGGCUAUAUAGGUACGGUUCGACUCCAUCAUCACCACCGCUCAUCUCCAUCGACUACUCAUCAUCGCCAAGGACGGUAACUUCGAUGACAUCUUUGUCAUACCUUGCAAUUGCAUUGAUAACCCACAUUGCCUCAUUUUGCGUAGCUUACCCACCGAGACUAGCCGUUGAGUAUUGCAGGCAACGUGACUUGUGCACAUUAGUGAUCAUACUCCAUAGCAUACAUACCAUACAAUAGUGGUGCAUAUCUUGAGAUCAACUUGUGUGUCACAAAGUUGUCAUAGCAUACACAAUUGUUAUCUUGGUUCGUGAGAUUUUGCAUAAGAAAAGAUCUCAAAAGUGAAAUAGCCACCCAAGCUUUUAAGCAAAGAGGAAAGAUAAGCAAAGAGCUUAUAAGCAAGAACCAUAGCAUCAUACAACAUUAAGAAUGUCAUAUCCGAUCAUCUUGGAUCAUAGCACCGAAAUAUCAUACAUAUAGCAUACUUGGGAUAGAGAUCGUUGCAUUUUUGCCUUCUAGGUUGUGCACAAGUUUGCGUAUCCGCCUAUUGUGCAAUCGUGCUAGCCUCUCUCUAGUAUUGUGCAACAAGAGCAUUUUCGUGGUUUCCACAUUUUGGCUCACUUUUGGAUUGCACAAUCCCAUUUAUCUAUUUGCGUGUGUGUUUCCAUGUACCCAUACUUUCUUGGUCUACUUGUUGCAUUUGCAAAUUUGUGAAUCUUUUCCAACAUUAUUGAAGCUCACUUACUAUUGCAUCAAAUUUUGUGCCACCAUCCUAACCAAGCUCCACCAUAAGCUUUUACGUGUGUAGGUGUGAGAACCGACAAGAAUUGGUACCAACAGUGCUAUUUCAUUGUCCGCAUUUGAGUGAACUUGAUUCAUCUUCAACUUCGGUCAAGGUACAUUUGGUACACGUUCUUUUCCUUCUACCACUUACAUUUUGCUUGGAAUGAUGGAUAGGCCAAGUUCUUCUACCACACCACCUCUGAUCGAGAACGACGACGACAUGACAUCAUUUGUCACCAAGAGCCACCUAUUUGGAGCUCAAAAGGCAUUGCACCAAGAACAACAAGCAAUGAGGGACUACUUCGACAACAAAUUCGACGCUCAAAAGCAAGAGAAUGAUGCAAGAAUGGAUGAUAUCCGCGCCUUCAUGAGGAACCGGCGUCCUUCCACUUCUUCAUCCUCGAGACGGAGCCGCUCGAGUCGACACUCCGACGACACCUUCUCCGACUCAAGUACACCGUCAUCGAACACUCUUUGACGAGCAGCGCGCCAAGACCGUCAUGCGUCUCGCAACCCACUACAUGACAAGCAUUCACAAGAGCAAUUCGAUGAGCAUCUACCUCGUCCUCAAUCAAACCAAGUCGCUUUUGCUCAAGCCCAAGAACGACAACGACUACGGCGCCAAGAAUAAGAACGAGCGCCUCUACACCAAGAGGAACAAGACGCCGAGGCUCAACGUCUUCAACAACAACAACAUGAAGCGCAAGCUCUUGAGGCGCAACGUGCCCUUCAAGAAUCAAGUCGAGCCAUCGCCAAUCGCAAUCGCGAGAGGCGCAAUCAAGAAGAAGCUCUUCGCGAAGAAAUCCAAGAGAGGAACUACCAACCGCGUGUGCAACGUCAAGCUCCACAAGCUCGUCAAGCUCCACCUCAACCUCAAGUUCAACAAGAGCAAGUUGAUAAUGGACUUCCUCCGCGCCAAGAGCAACAUGAGGAUGAUUACCCUCCACGUCAAGGGCGUCAUCAUCACCAUCGCCAACAACACAAUGAAGAGCAACGCUAUGGCAAGCUCAAGUUCACAAUGCCCAAGUUCAAUGGAAGCAAUGAUCCCGAAGAGUACCUCUCAUGGGCAUUGAAGGUCGACAAAAUCUUUCAUUUGCACAACUAUGAGGAAGAGAAGAAGAUCGCUAUGGCAUCACUUGAGUUCCAAGACUAUGUGCUCAUAUGGUGGGAACAAGUCCUUGAACGCCGUCAAGCAAGAGGUGAACCACCAAUCACCACUUGGGCUCAAAUGAAGGAUGUCAUGCGAGCACGUUUUGUGCCAACCUACUACAACCGCGAUCUCUUCAAGAAGCCACAACUCCUCAAGCAAGGAACAAAGAGUGUUGAAGAAUACUACAAAGAAAUGGAGAUAGCCAUGAUUUGAGCCAAUGUGAAGGAAGAUGAUGAGCAAACAAUGGCACGUUUCUUGAAUGGACUCAACCAUCCCAUCAAGAAGAUUGCCGACUUCCAACCAUACUCCAACCUCAUUGAGCUCGUACAUCAAGCUACCAAGGCCGAACGUCAAGUGCAAGAUGACUUCAAGUACGCCAAGUACUCAUCCAAGCCCUACGGUUUAUCCAACAACCAAGCUUCAACGACUCCUCCAACAUCUACAUCAACCAAGCCUUAUCCAAGCAACGACGACAAGUCAAGUUACAAGAAAACUUCGGCAAGUUCAAGUCGUCCUCCUCCUACUACAAGCAACUUCAAGCCGCGUGCUUCAUCAUCUACUCCGACCGAUGAGACCGUCAAAACAAGCUCCUACAAGUGUUUCACUUGCGGCGGCCGAGGCCACAAGUCCUUCCAAUGCAUGAACAAGCGCACCAUGAUCCUCAACGACGAUGGUACAUACGACUCCAUGAGUGAAGAGGAGAUGGAAGCCCUUGAGCAAGUGGCCAUGCACCGACGUGUGAACGAGGAUGAAGAUGAUCAAGUCUUUUGUGAUGAGGAUUCAAGCCCCGCUCUCGUUGUCUCCAAAGUCUUGACUCUUCAACAUCAACAAGAAGAGGACCAACGAUGCCACAUCUUCCACACAAAGGCCGGCAUCAAUGGAAGGUUCGUCAAGGUCAUCAUCGAUGGAGGUAGUUUCCACAACUUGGCAAGUGAAGAACUAUGCUCCAAGCUUCAAUUGGUCAAGAGGAAGCACCCGCACCCCUACAAGGUUCAAUGGCUAAGUGAAUCCGGCACUAUACGAGUUGAGCAUACGGUCCAAGUCUCCUUCAAAAUUGGUGCUUAUGAGGACACUUUGGAGUGUGAUGAAUGACCGUUUGCCACCUCCUUCUUGGUCGACCAUGGCAAUUCGACCGUGGUGCCAUCCACAAUGGGCGUACCAAUCACUAUAGCUUCAAGAUGAAAGGGAAGGAAUAUGUGCUACGACCUAUGUCUCCUAGUCAAGUGAUAGCCGACAAGCAAACCACCAAUCAUGGAGAGAAGAGUGUGAAAGUGAUCCACCCAAAAGUGAGUGAGAGCCAAAAUCCAAAUUUGAGAGCCUCUUCGCCUAGAGAGAAAAACCUCAUCCUAUUUGCCACCAAAAGUGAGAUGAGAGAAGUGUGUGAGAACCCAUCGAGUGUGAUGCACUUUGUCCUUGUGUGCAAGGAUGGAGAAUCAAAAACUAACACUUCUCACGAGCUACCUUUAGUGUUUCAAUCUCUUUUGCAGGAAUUCCAAGAUGUUUUCCCCGAUGAGCUACCUCCGGGUCUACCUCCAUUACGAGGCAUUGAGCAUCGAAUCGACCUCAUCCCCGGAGCGCCACUUCCAAACAAAGCUCCAUACCGUGUCAACCCCGAAGAAACCAAGGAGAUUCAACGGCAAGUACAACAACUCAUCGACAACGGUCAUGUACGUGAAAGCUUAAGCCCUUGUGCCGUUCCCGUUAUACUUGUGCCUAAGCCCGAUGGAAGUUUCCGCUUGUGUUCUGAUUGUAGACCUAUAAAUGCUAUUACCGUUCGCUACAGGCAUCCCAUUCCUCGCUUAGAUGAUAUGCUUGAUGAGCUUAGCGGAGCCAACUUUUUCUCAAAAAUUGAUCUUAAAAGUGGCUAUUAUCAAAUCCGCAUACAAGAGGGUGAUGAAUGGAAAACUGCUUUCAAAACAAAAUUUGGCUUAUAUGAGUGGUUAGUUAUGCCUAUGAGUCUAUCGGAAGCUCCCGGUACUUUCGUGCGUCUUAUGCAUCAUGUGCUUCGAGCUUACAUUGGAGUCUUUGUUGUGGUUUACUUUGAUGAUAUUCUUGUGUUUAGCAAAACCAUGAAAGAGCAUAUUAAUCAUGUUAAAUCUGUUUUGCAAACCCUUCGCAAGGAAAGCCUUUAUGCAAACUUGAAAAAAUGCACGUUUGGCGUUGACAAAGUGGUUUUCUUGGGUUUUGUUGUAUCUUCCAAAGGUGUCCAUGUUGAUGAAACUAAUAUUGAGGCAAUUAAAACUUGGCCCCAACCCACCAAUUUGCAACAAGUGCGCAGUUUUCUUGGUCUUGCAGGAUUUUAUCGCCGCUUUUGAAAAGUUUAGCAAAAUUGCCGCUCCUUUGCAUGCCUUGAGUAAGAAGAAUGCUCCUUUUGUUUGGGGAUCUUUGCAAUCCACCUCUUUUGAUGAGCUCAAGUCAUUGCUUACUCAUGCUCCGAUUCUUGCUUUGCCCAACUUUGAGAAAACUUUUGAGGUUCAUUGUGAUGCUAGUGGUACCGGAAUUGGCGGAGUUUUGAUGCAAGAAAAACGAGCCAUUGCUUAUUUUAGUGAAAAACUCUCCGGUGCUCAACUUAACUAUCCCAUCUAUGACAAGGAAUUAUAUGCUUUAGUGUGUGUGCUACAUGUUUGGGAACAUUAUCUUAGACCUCAUGAGUUUGUCAUACACACCGAUCAUGAAACGCUUAAGUACUUAAAAGGUCAAACUAAAUUGAACAAGCGUCAUGCCAAAUGGAGUGAAUUUAUUGAAUCUUUUCGUUAUGUGAUCAAGUACAUUAAGGGUAAGGAAAAUGUAGUUGCGGAUGCACUUUCACCCAUAUGCACACUUGUCACUCAACUUGAGUUGAAUGUAAUUGGUUUUGAGCAUAUAAAAGACUUGUAUGAGCAUGAUCCUUCUUUUGCUAACCCUUAUGCUAAGUGUUUGACGCACACGUCUUGGGAACGAUACUACAUAAAGGAUGAUUAUCUUAUGAGAGCUAACAAACUUUGCAUUCCUGAGUCUUCUCUUCGUUUGCUACUUUUGCAAGAGGCUCAUGGAGGCGGACUCAUGGGACACUUUGGACGUGACAAGACAUUCGCCACGCUCUCCAAGAACUACUUUUGGCCCAAGAUGUUCUGUGACGUCUCAUGCUUCACCAACCGUUGCUCUACAUGUCGCAAAGCUAAGUCUAAAGCUCAAUCCCAUGGUCUUUACAUGCCACUUCCUAUUCCUUAUCAAUCUUGGGAAGACAUUAGCAUGGAUUUUGUACUUGGUUUGCCUAGAACUCAAAAUGGCAAGGAUUUUGUCUUUGUUGUUGUGGACCGAUUUUCUAAGAUGGCACAUUUCAUUCCUUGCAACAAGAUAGAUGAUGCUUCACAUAUUGCCAAUCUCUUUUGUAGGGAAAUCUUGCGACUUCAUGGAGUGCCAAAGACGAUUGUCUCGGACCGCGAUGUCAAGUUCUUGAGUUACUUUUGGAAGACCCUAUGCGCCAAGCUUGGCAUCAAGCUAUUGUUCUCUACGGCAUACCAUCCUCAAACCGACGGCCAAACGGAGGUGACGAACCGUACACUCUCCACUCUACUUCGCGUGUUGAUCAAGAAGAACAUCAAGGAGUGGGAGGCGUGUCUACCCAUCGCCGAGUACGCCUACAACCAUGCAAGACAUUCGACGACCGGCAAGUCCCCCUUCGAGGUCGUCUACGGCUUCAACCCGUUGUCCCCAUUGGACAUUCUACCUCUUCCUCUACAAAAGCGCACCAACCUCGACGCAAAUGCCCGUGCAAGCUACAUCAAGAAGAUGCAUGAAGAUACAAGGCACACCAUCGAGCGCCAAGUACAACGACUAGCGACCAAGCUCAACGUCAACAAGCAUCCCAUGAUAUUCAACAUUGGAGACCUCGUGUGGCUACACCUUCGCAAGGACCGUUUCCCCAACGAACGCAAGUCCAAGCUUCUCCCUCGAGCCGACGGACCCUUCAAGGUGCUAGCACGCUACAACAACAAUGCUUACAAGAUCGAUCUCCCACGCGACAAGUACAAUGUGAGCGACAUCUUCAACGUCUCUGAUCUCUCCCCGUACCAUGGUGAUGAGGAUUUUGAUCCGAGGUCGGAUCUUUCACAAGGGGGGGGGGGAGAUGAUGCGGAGCAUCCUUCGGUCAUCUCCAUGGACCUUCCGUCGCCUCACCAAGCACCAAGAGGACCCAUGACAAGAGCACGAGCUCGAGCUCUCAAGACCGAGGUGACUUCUCUCCUUAGUAAAAUAUCAUAUGACCCUCUCGAGACAUGGCUACUACCUCAAUCCGGAAUGUUGUGCAUGAUUAGGUAUCAGGAGGACCCUCCCGAGAAUGCACAUGAAGAUGGACAAGACCCCAAGUCCAAGGAAGAAGUGAACCAAUGGAAGAAGGCAAAAGAAGCUUCCAGGCACCGGACAUCCGGCCAAGGUCCCAGACAUCCGGUCCCUGGAGAUCCACACGGCCAGCCCCUGUAGAAGAAGGCUACAGUGACCGUACAUCCGGCCUCCAGCUCGGACAUCCGGCCACCCACCGGAAAUCCGACCUCCCGCCCGGAUAUCCGGCCCAGGCAUCCCGAAUGCACCGAAGAUGGCCCCAACAGCCCGGACAUCCGGCCUACGCACCGGACAUCCGGUCCCUCCAGAAGCACCGGACAUCCGGCACCACCAGCCCAGACAUCCGGUCCCUCAUGAACUACCGGACAUCCGGCCGACGCCCGGACAUACGGCGCCCCUGCCUGCGCGCAGCCUCUUUGGGCAGAGACCCGUGUAUCCCUUCGCCCCUUGACUAUAUAUACUCCCUCCUCCCAUACGUUUUAGGGUUAGCGUUGAUUUAGCUCAGAUUAGAGAUAGAGCUUCGCUCAUCCAUCGGAUCUCCUCUUCGUGAGAGACCGCGUCCUCCUCUGAGAAGAUCCAAUUGGAUUCAAGACCCCCUCGUGGGAAGAUCCCCUCGCAGAUUCAAGACCUCCUCACGGAGAACAUCGGUUACCUUUGUAUCCUUACCUUUGUUGACUUUGGAUCUCGUGUAUCUCUUUGUGUUCGGUGAUCUAGCACUCGUGUGAUUGAUUCUAUGACGGUUUAGUGUUUCUCUCUCGUUUUCCCUGUGUUUCCCCUUCGUGCUUCCGUGUGUUCUUCGUGAAUCCGCGUAGGAUCCCCUCCAAACGUGAAAGAUCGUCCACAUAGGGUUCCGCCCUACAUCACAUUAUCUCAAGGGUUUUAUUGAUGGGACAUUGUUGUGCCCCAUGCAAUUCGUAUCACAGAAUACGAUUGUCGAUACUCAUGUCACAAUGCUCAACUCGGCGUACCGAGCCUGGAUCGCCCAAGACCAAGAGGUCCUCUCCGCCAUCCGGUCCUCUCUCACUGACGUUAUGUCCAGCAUGGUUCUCUUUGCCACCACGUCUCAGGAUGCGUGGUCCAUUCUUGAUGGGAGUUUUGCAUCUCAGUCCACGGCGCGUUCUAUGGUCUGAAGCAGGCACCCCGUGCUUGGCAUGCUAGCCUUGCAACUAGUCCCCAUGCUCAUGGUUUUGUUCCAUCGACGGCUAAUACACCACUGUUCCUUUUCCAACGCUCCGAUGUCCCCAUCUAUCUUCUGAUUUAUGUUGAUGACAUCAUUCUUGUCAGUUCCUCAGCGACUGCUGCUGAUCUCGUCUUCUCUCAGCUCUUCGUUCUAAUUUUGCUAUUAAGGACCUUGGAAAGCUUCAUUGUUUCCUAGGAUUGGAGGUUGCUCACACUUCUGAUGGACUCUAUCUCACUCGGAAGAAGUAUUUCUUGGACCUCUUACGUCAUGUUGGUAUGCUCAAGUGCAACCCCUCCUCCACACCCAUGUCUGCUACUGACAAGCUUUCUGCUGUUCAUGGUGAUCUUCUAUCUCCUUAUGAUGCUACUGAGUAUCGUAGUCUUCUUGGUGGCCUGCAGUAUCUCCCUAUCACCAGACCAGACAUUGUCUUUGCACGGACGCGUUCACGGAUGUUUGAGGGAUGUAGAUGCUCUAAUACUUGUGGCGCAGGGGCUUGUUCUUUUAGUGGGAUGCCACAUAAAACAGUUUUUGGAAGGUUAUGUAGACUUGUUUCCAGCAACUAUUUUGUUUUAUGUGUUUCUUUUAUCAACUUUUUCUGGUUUCUCAUGUUUUUUCUUUUUUUUCCUUUCAUUAUUUUUUCUUUUUUUCUUUGUGUUUGGUCUUCUAUAUGGAUUUUUCACUAAUUUCUAUGUCUGUUUUCAAAGCUUUUUUUAGGUUUCGAUUUUCUGUGUUUCUUUAUCUCUUUUACAAGUGUCUAAUAUUUGUCAUGCACAUCUUACAGUUUUCAUAUAAAUUGGAAAUAUUUGUAUCUACUUUAAAUAUAUUUUGUAUAAAUUGGAAAUAUUUGUUCUACUUUUGUUCGGAUGAUGGGUUGCUAACCUGGCUUAGCCUGCAGAUCCAUAUCUAUCCAUAGAGACCUCAUGUUCCAGAAAUUCGACGCCCACUUGCCUCAAGCAGUGCACGCGAUACGAACCAAGCGCCAAUGGCCCGCCCAACUUUGAAGAGCUCUACUAGAGCGAUUUUGUUAUAUUUUUUAAACUAGUUGUUUGAUGUUUUGCUCUUAUGUUUUUUCCUUACAAUUGUUUUUCAGAAAUUUGUUAGCUGUGUGUUAAAAAUAAAUUGUGUGUAUUAAAAAAUGUGCAACAUGUAUUAUUAAAAGUUCACCAUACGUUAAAAAAAGUUCACCUUGUAAAAUAAAAAUUUCACAGUAUGUUUAAAAAUGUGCACUGUACAUUCCAAAAAUCACUAUAUAUAUAAAAUGUUUAGUGCAUAUUAAAAAAUUUAGGUACAUUUAAAAAAGUAUUUUUAUAUAUUAGAAUAAUGUUCAUCUUACGUAAAUAAAGAAUUCAAAAGAAAAAGGAAAAGAAUAUAAUACAAACCAGUUCGAAUAGAAAAUAAAAAAGCAGAAAAAGAAAGUAUGAAACAGAAGAAAAAAAGCGUGGCAAACUAAACAUGCGGUCAUUUUUUAAUAAAUUUUUCAUGCACAUCUUACAUUUGCCAUAGAAAUUGGAAAUAUUUGUAUCUACUUGAAAGACUAUUUAUAAAUUGGAAAUAUUUGUAUCUACUUUUGUUCGGAUAAUGGACACAUAACCUGGCAUGGCCUGCAGACCUCAUGUUCAAGAAAUUCAACGCCCACUGGCAUCAAGCAGUGCAUGCGAUUCCUGAACCGAGCGCCAAUGGGCCGGCCCAAUUUUAAAGAGCUCUACUUCAGCGAUUUUCUUACGUUUGUUAUGGUUACUAAAAAAAAUGAUAUGUUUGUUAUGUGUUUUAAACUACUCCCUCCGUUCCAAAAUAGAUGACUGGAAUGGAGGGAGUAGCUGUUUGAUGUUUUGCUCUUAUUUUUUUUUGUUAACAAUUGUUUUUCCGAAAUUUUUUGGCUGUGUAUUUUUAAAAGUUUUGUGUGUUGCAUAUAUUAUUAAAAGCUCUCCAUACACUAAAAAAGUCACCUUGUGAACAAAAAGUAAACCGUACAUUAAAAAAGAUCUCACCAUACAUUAAAAAAGUUCACUAUUGUGAGCACUAUUGUGAGCGUGCACACAUUUUAACUUAAUCUACACGCAUGCCGCUCCUAAUCAGGCGCGGGUCGCGGAGAAGGCAGCAUGUUGAUUGAGGGUAACCGCAUGUGGAGGAUUGGUCAGUAUUCAUUGGCAGUAAUUCUCUUACGAUGUGUUGAUCAGUAUUCAUUGCCAGUAAAAUAUUAAGUAUAGAUGAUAAUAGACCUAGAUAUUUUACCGGCACUGAGAUAUCGUAGGUUUCAUCCAGUAAUAGAUUAAGUAUAGAUAGUAAUCGACCUAUUCUUUUACCAGCAUUGAGUUACCGAUGGUUUUAUCAGUAAAUUUAGUAAAACCUUCGCCAGACAUGUAGUAAUAUAUAACUAUAGUAACAUAUUAAGCAUGGAUGGUAAAUGGACCUAAGUUCAUUCAGUAAUUGAUUGAGUGUAGAUAGUAAUUGACCUAUUCUUUUUACCGCAUUGAGUUACCAUUGUUUUAUCACUAAAUGUAGUAAAACCUUUGCCAGACAUGUAGUAUUGUAUUACUAUAGUAACAUAUUAAGCAUGGUUACUACCGAAACUGAAAAUGAUGAUGUAUUAAUAGCAGUAUGUACAAAGAAGAGUGCAACUAUGGUAACAUGUAGUACUAAUUAUUAGAUUAUCAUAGCAGCAGUAAAGGGAUUAGCACCUAGUGACCGGUCAAUGCACAAUCGUGGGGUCGUGGGAACAAAAUAAAAUUGAAGUAUAUUAUUUUAAGGAAAAUUGUACGUGAUUGUAAUCCCUUUACUGCUGCUAUGAUACUGAUAGUAAUAACUACGUCCCACAUACACUUUUACUAUGCUCAUUUAGGCGAGCGGCGAGGGGUUGGUCGUAAGACGUUAUGGUAGACUUUUACCCACGAUUCCACGCGCCCUUUCAUGUGGUUAGCGCGUCUGCGUGCUUAGCGCGCCGGUUGGCGCGAAGCGGCCGGAGCGUAGGAUAUGCCACAGUGCCCACAAGGCACACUUUAGCAAGCCUACUUUACAAAUGUUUAUCCUAUAAGAAAAUAAUCUUCAUCGUAUAUAAAGAAAAAAAAGGAAAAACAAACCCAAAGAGAAAAUUUUAAACCAGUUAGAAUAAGAAAAAAAAGCAGAAAAAGAAACUACAAAAAUGAAAGAAAAAAGUGACCAACCAAACAUGCGACCAAUUUUAAUUGUUUUUGUUGCAAUGAGUUAGUCUACUUUUAUAUAUACACAAACACACUCGAAAUAGUUGCACUAUUUUUUACUGCCUUUGGUAUACGAGUAACACAAAAGAACACCUGUGAGAACAGCAUUGCUACACAUACGACAUUCCUUGCACGAUUUAUGGACGACAGAGCCAGCUGAGCCUUUAAUCACAUUUGAUGCGUGGAUUUGCACCGUUGGAUCAUCGGUCGUGCAAGCAUCGUCCAAGGACUGUCGUUCGUCAAGUAGUUUCGCCUGUGAGAAUGCUGUGUACACAUAAUAUAAGGCUGUAAAGUUUCCCCAGUCGGUGGCCCACCGAAUUUUACUCGCAGCAGGAGAGAAGUGCUACUAGUCAAUUUCUAGUGGCCCUGCUUUUGCUCGGCCGCCGCACAUUGGAAGCGGCGAGAAAACCUCAAAAAAGAAACGAAAAAGUAAGCGAGAAAGAACAAUCUUGUCGGUAGUAGACGCGAGUAGUCCAUUUUUGCGGCAGAGCGGUAGCAGUACCAUCCAAGCUGUAGGGUCGGCAUGGUUUGUCUACGGUGUAGGGUCGCCGGUGAAUCCGGUGUGCAGAGAUCGCACUUGCUCCAGAAGACCAGAACCCACGGUAUAUAAUGAGACGCACAUGUGUCGAUCUAGACAUCCACUUCCACACCCACAAACAAUUCCACGCUCCAUCUGUGCAAGAAAGAUGCCACCAGUGCUCCUCCUCGUCCUGGCCGCCUCGCUCGUGGCGCUGCCGUCGUGCCAAAGCCUUCCGGUGCUCGCUCCGGUCACCAAGGACCCCGCCACCUCCCUCUACACAAUCCCCUUCCACGACGGCGCCAGCCUCGUCCUCGACGUCGCCGGCCCUCUCGUCUGGUCCACGUGCGAUGGCGGCCAGCCGCCCGCGGAGAUCCCGUGCAGCAGCCCCACCUGCCUCCUCGCCAACGCCUACCCCGCCCCGGGCUGCCCCGCUCCCAGCUGCGGCAGCGAUAAGCACGACAAACCGUGCACGGCGUACCCGUACAACCCGGUCAGCGGCGCGUGCGCCGCAGGGAGCCUCUCCCACACGAGAUUCGUGGCCAACACCACCGACGGGAGCAAGCCGGUGAGCAAGGUGAACGUCGGGGUCCUGGCGGCGUGCGCGCCGAGCAAGCUCCUGGCGUCGCUGCCCCGGGGCUCCACGGGCGUGGCCGGGCUCGCGAACUCCGGCUUGGCGCUGCCGGCGCAGGUGGCAUCCGCGCAGAAGGUCGCCAACAGGUUCCUCCUCUGCCUCCCCACCGGCGGCCCUGGCGUGGCCAUAUUUGGCGGCGGCCCGGUCCCGUGGCCGCAAUUCACGCAGUCGAUGCCUUACACGCCGCUCGUCACCAAGGGCGGCAGCCCCGCGCACUACAUCUCGGCCAGGUCCAUUGUAGUGGGGGACACCCGCGUCCCCGUACCGGAGGGCGCGCUCGCCACCGGCGGCGUGAUGCUCAGCACGAGGCUACCCUACGUCUUGCUCCGCCCCGACGUGUACCGCCCGUUGAUGGACGCGUUCACCAAGGCCCUGGCGGCGCAGCAUGCCAACGGAGCGCCCGUGGCGCGCGCAGUGGAGGCUGUGGCGCCGUUCGGGGUGUGCUACGACACGAAGACGCUGGGCAACAACCUCGGCGGGUACGCGGUGCCCAACGUCCAGCUGGGGCUCGAUGGCGGCAGUGACUGGACGAUGACCGGGAAGAACUCGAUGGUGGACGUCAAGCAAGGGACGGCGUGCGUUGCGUUCGUGGAGAUGAAGGGAGUGGCGGCCGGCGACGGCAGGGCGCCGGCGGUGAUCCUCGGAGGGGCCCAGAUGGAGGACUUCGUGCUCGACUUCGACAUGGAGAAGAAGCGGCUCGGGUUUAGCAGGCUGCCGCACUUUACGGGUUGCGGCGGCCUGUAAUAAUAAAUCUGUUUAACGACAGGUGGAUUCGUCCACUACUGCGUGUAAUAAAUAAGGGAAGAAACACUUUCCAUCAGUGGUUUCAUAAGAAGCGGCCAUCAGACCCAUCGUCGUCCGUUGAUUCUGGUUAAAUCUCACGGUCAAGAUACCUCUUAUCCCGUCGCCCUUAAAAAAAAUCAUUCGCCUUCAUAACCCCCUCCAAAAUCUCCCGCACGAAUAUCCCUCCGAGGCUCCGACCCUCCCCCUUCAUAUCCAAAAAUGCUACACUUACGGGUGGCAUUGCACGGUUAUGGUUAUUCGCCGCAUAACCACAAACAUUUGAUCCAAAAAUGCUACACUUACGGGUGGUAUAUGUUGUGGAUCGAGCCAAUCUUUGGCAUGCACCACCACCCUCUCCGCCACUACCACUCAAACGACGUCCUCGGGAAAGAAAUCAACCUCGACAUCCUCUCGACCACCAUCACCACCAUCACCACCCCCUCGGCCACCAUCACCACCACCCCCUCGGCCACCAUCACCACCACCCCCUCGGUCGCCAGCAACAUUCUGAAGAGAGGCCAAGAUUUCUCUGAAGAGAGGACAAGAUUUCUUCACGAGUGAGCCCGUUUGCCUCCGGUAGGUGCGGUGGGAGGGCGGCGUGCCGUUGCCGGAGACACGGUGGCCACCCCGGACACAAUUGGCGCAGUUGGAGGCGGAGCUUGGACCCAGUGGUUCUUUGUCAUCCCCAAGCUUUUUGCCGCCGCAGGAUGGAGUAUAUUUAGGGAAAUCNNNNNNNNNNNNNNNNNNNNNNNNNNNNNNNNNNNNNNNNNNNNNNNNNNNNNNNNNNNNNNNNNNNNNNNNNNNNNNNNNNNNNNNNNNNNNNNNNNNNNNNNNNNNNNNNNNNNNNNNNNNNNNNNNNNNNNNNNNNNNNNNNNNNNNNNNNNNNNNNNNNNNNNNNNNNNNNNNNNNNNNNNNNNNNNNNNNNNNNNNNNNNNNNNNNNNNNNNNNNNNNNNNNNNNNNNNNNNNNNNNNNNNNNNNNNNNNNNNNNNNNNNNNNNNNNNNNNNNNNNNNNNNNNNNNNNNNNNNNNNNNNNNNNNNNNNNNNNNNNNNNNNNNNNNNNNNNNNNNNNNNNNNNNNNNNNNNNNNNNNNNNNNNNNNNNNNNNNNNNNNNNNNNNNNNNNNNNNNNNNUUAUACUCCGUUAGCGUUUUUAGGGGAUCGGCUAGGUCCGCUGUAAAGGAGUAAACCAAAAAACUUACUCCCUUAUGGCCGUUUUGGGGAUCGGUUAUAAAUGCCCUUAGGAGGAGCGAUCCUCUCAUCUACUCCAUGCUUGGUGCUUCGGCAGGUUGCUCAAACGCCUGUUAGGUUGCAACCGUCGGCCAGAGAACCAGCAGCGGCCUCCGGUAUUUCCCCUCUCUUCGAAUCUUCAGGUUAUUUCCAAUCUGACGAUUUGUUAUGUCCCCCCAUCAUCUAUGCUUGCUUCAGUUUAUUUCCAAUCUGACGAUUUGUAAUUUCAACAUUGCAAUAACGUUUCUAAACAUUGUGUGCCGACUACUCAUUGUGUGCCUAUAUGUUGAUCUUCUCAUGUAUUAGGCCAUUUGAUCAUCUAAUAAUUUCCUUGUUAGUCUAGAAUUCUUUUAUUGUUGUGGUAUUUAGAUCAUCAGAGCUUGCGUACGUGUGUUGGCAGCAAUCAUACUAAUUACCUAGUUUCAAAAUUCAAUGGUUCCAAUGAAGAUGAGAAUUGGUGAGAUAUUAACCUUUAUAUGCUUCCUAUAUAUGAAGCUACAAAUAUUUCUGAAGUGUAGAUAGUUUUUGCUACCAAUGCAUCUUGCGUCUUAUUUUACAAUUUAGUUAUUGUUUUCGUUAUCACCAUUGGACACAUGGCAUGCUCCCAUAUGAUUAUGCAUAUGUUUCUUCGUUUUAGGUAGUUUGAUUCCGUAGUUCUAGCCUUCUAGGUUCCAAAUUUUGGUCUUAAUUUGUAUGCACGGUUCUAUUGUAUUGUUUGCAUUCUAUUUAUCAGUACUGCAGCAUACACAUAGUGCCAUUGUUGUUUCCUACCUUCGAUACUUAUGCAUUAUGCCUACAUGCAUGUGGGCAAUACUUGGCGGCCUCCGCGUAUAGGGCGCAGUUCCUAGGGACGGUCCUUCCUCCCAUGGACAAAAUGGUUUGGAAGGUUUGGGCACCCCCAAAGUCAAAAUUUUUGCUUGGUUGGCCCUUCAAGACAGAGUUUGGACGGCGGAUAGAUUGGCAAAGCGUGGGUGGCCAAAUUGCGAUCUCUGCCCUCUUUGCAGCAUGGUGCAAGAGUGUGGAGCUCACCUCUUCUACAAGUGCAACUACACCCGACGUCUUUGGUCUUUGGUCAUUGAGAAAUUCCUCAUGCACGGGCUUGACACUUCCGCUGGGCCCCUGUUCGACUCGGUGGACGAGUGGUGAGCUAGCACCUGCGCCGAUGGUACGCUGAACCACCAAGCCAAGGCCUCCCUCACUAUGCUCGUCUCAUGGACAAUUUGGAACGAGUGUAACGCAAGAGUGUUUAAGCAUAAGAGUGCUCCACCGCCAAUCUUGCUCUCCUCCAUCUCUACGGAGGCCAACCUUUGGGUCAUUGCCGGCGCAAAGAAGGUAGGGUCUUUUAUUUCACGCGAGUAAUCCGCAUGCCAUGCUUGUUGGGUGUCUUGUUACAAACUAUUUUCUAUCUUAAUUAAUGGAUGAGGCAAAGCUUUUGCCUCCGUUUCAAAAAAAAUGCUUCAAGCAGCCUUCUUAUGGCUUCGGGGCCUAUCUAUGCCGACGAGACAUGUAUAUAUGGAGGAAACUAGUGCAUGCACCAAGAAACAAGGCAACACCUGGAUCUACCUCGCAAUGAAGACGACCGCUCGCUAGAUAAAGGGAAGCGAGUCCAGAAUCUUGAGGGAGUAUACAAUAUUAACUUAGGAAGCACUGGACUAUUUGUGACUUGAAAAGGCAAAUUUGUUGUAUGAACCUGAAAGUACUAUUAGGGAACAUAAAUAUAUUUAUUUUAGGAAGCACUGUACAAUGGAUAAGAAACAUGUUAUAUGAACGGACGAAGCAUGGAGAAAUCUUAUGCUUCGUUGGAAGCAAAUUAUUUUUGCGGUGGAAACACUUUUCUUGUGCAUGGAAGCAAACAUUUCUUGUGUUGGAAACAUAAGAAAAACUGCAUGUGUUGUGAUACUGAUCCCAAAUUUUUGCAUCUACAUCUACAUCUUUGAUCAAGGAUGCUAAUGUGAUACUGACCCUUCACAGUUCACAAAUCACAUGUGUUGUGAUUUCAAGUGUUUUUUGGGUACAGAGAUUUGAUGCUUCAUAUAUAUCCAAUACGUGCUUCAUCACCAGGGAGCAGGAGGAUCACCAGGGAGAAGCAUUUAAAAAAAAAAAUUGCAUGAAGUGACUUCCACCAACGUGAAGUGUUUCAUUGACACUGAAAAAUGUUUCCAUUACAGAACAUAAAAUAGGUGUCCAUUGGUUGAAACAAUGUUUGCAUAGACGACAACCGAUGCUUGUGUGGCAUGUGGUCGACAUAGAUUGUUUUCCUCUCAUGAGAAAAGGCAUCCCAAUUGUCCACUAGAAUUUAGGGAUCUAUUUCCUAAACGAAAGGAUGUGUUUGGUUCUCACAAAUAAUGCUUCCAUCACAUGGGUGCCUGAAUCAGGUAAUCGAACGUGGUUUAAGGAAGCAUGCAACUAGCCUAGGAAGCAACGUUCAGGGAGGCAUGCAUCACAUGGAUGGCCUGCUACUAGGAAGCAACGUUCAGGGAGGAAGUAUCGGAUGGAGAGAAAGUAACCCGAGCGCGGUAGAGCACAUGGGUUGCGGAAGCAGUUAAGAAGCACUCAAUUAGCGGCUAUCGCUAAUCUCAUGCAGGACUAAACUAGUACUAAAUCGGACGACUUCCUGCUUCUGAUCCGACGGCCUACGACUAGUUGACUAGUGAGAUAGAAUGUGAACUACCAGUAGUUUGAUGCCCCCAAUAAAUAAGUUCUUUUAGACAUUGCCGAAAAAGGUUUUCCCCGAUUUGUAUUCCAAGCACCAACACCGAUUACAUAGCAUACGCUGGGGCGAGCAGCACAACAAGCCAAAGAAAAAGAAGAAGAAACAAUGCCAACAUCGGCAGCUCGACAAAGCGCGGAUGACCCACUACUGUUGUGCCCUUCGAAAUCUACCCACCACAAUCCCAGGCUCCGAUCCUCCGCGUACCAAGCAGCACCUCCAGGAAGGAAUGCGACGCUGAUGACACUGCUGCCCGGACGUGUCCUAGGGUUUCCCCCGGCACGCGGAGGGUAGAGGGGAAUGAAGACCACCGACACCCUCCAGGGAGGAAUGGUGGCACCCGUAGGCGUCACCGUAUCGUAACCGGAAGACCCGGCAAGGAUUUCUCCCAAUUCCACACCCCACUGCCCAAUCGGAUCGGAGCUAACCAGCCAGCUCGCCGCCCACCAACAUGCGCCACCGCGGUCGCAACACCACCCACGCCGCCUCACUGCGAUCACUACCACGAGGCCAAAAGAACGAGGAGAGGAGGCGUUGGUUGACGGGAGCAGCAGCACCAUAGCCGCGCGGGAGGGAACCACCUCCUCCGCCGUCAUGCAGGAGGCUCGUGCCUCCGGCACCGUCGUGGACGCCGUCUGGACGUAGCAGCAGGGCAUACCAGGCCACCCCUGGCCCGGCCAUGCCCGAAUCGGGCCCGCUAAGCCCCGUCGGCCACGCUGCAGCAGGGCGGCACCAGCACCGCCAGCCCCCAACGCCCAUCGCCGCUCCCCUGCCUCCUGGAAACCACUCCGCCAACCCGCCCCGCCGUCGGCCCGCCCAGACCCAGAUGGGGCACGAAGGGCCUAGAUCUGGGCCGAGCGGGCGCCGCCAGGCCACGCUGCCGCGCCUCCCCGCCGCCAACGGCGACGCCGCAGUCCAGCGGAUCUCCCGCGCCGUGCCAGGGAGCCCUGCCGCCACGCCGGACCGCCGCCGCCUAGGGAGCACCCCCCGGCGCCCUCCGCCCGAGAGUAACCGAGAGGGGAAUGGCCGAGAGCCGCCGCCACCAGCGUCGCUCGGGCCAGGCCUGGCGGCGAACGCCGGCGACGGCGGCAGGGAGGGGGGAGUGAGGGAGAGCUGGCGGAGGAGGAACUGGGGCGCGGCUGGUCGCCCGCGGGGGUGACGCGGUCGCGUAAUGGGUAUUCUUUACGAACCUCUUUUAGACAUUCAAUAAAAUGCAAAAUUCAUUUGGACAUUGAAGACCAUACUUCAUAUGUUGACCUUUGUUUUUUUUGUUCACUUAAAAUACACCAUUAAAUGAUCCAUGUCAGCAUUUGGCAUUUUUAGAUCUGUUCGCUACAUUUAAGUCAUGAUUUUAAAUUGUACUAAAUGCAUGAAAAAAUAGAAAACAAUUGAGUUAAAAAUUCAUAUCUGUGUUCUCAUGUCCAUAUUUAGUCCUUAUCAAAGAAUGAAAAUGAAUUCCAAACAUGAGGGUGCCCGGAGACGACCCCGGACAUUAAGUUUUUUUUUAGUUAUGAAAAAUGCAAACGAAGUCAGAAAAGAAUGAAACUUUCAUGAUGCCAAUGUAUCACACCUAGAGGCUAAGGUAAAUGUUUGAGAAAGUUCUCAAAAGUUGUGUCACACAUUACUUACAAAGCAGACAAUCUUCAAGGAAAGAUCAUGGUUUUGAGAUGGAACAUGUCAUCUUUGAAGGCAGAGCGGCUGCUGCUUUAUCCGCUGGCCUUGAAUUUUCUGCAUGGCAGUGCACGGCUUAGCUCUCGGUGUAUGUAUCAAUUCUUGAGUUCGUUGUUGACACGUUUUGUACCUCUACGUGCCGGUUGCAUCAUUUCACUUUCGGGAGCGUUCCCUCUAUGUAGAGAGGAGAUAUAGAGGAGAGACGAAUACACACACAUGUGAAGUUCAUUUGUACUGAGCUGUUUCUCCGGCGACCCCAUCUCAAUGACUGCGUGCAAAACCGUCCGAGAGUGCAUGUCGUGCUCCUUGAGAGCCUGAUUUUGCCCGUGUUUGUGUGAGUCAAACUGUUGAAAAAAUAGGGUAGAACCCGUGGUCUAACAAGAGUUGCCUUUCCGUACUGUUGUCGUGAAGAGAAGUUUGACAGGAGAAAGAAAUUCAAAAACCGGCGAAGUUCAUUUGUACUGAGUUGUUUCUCCAGCGACCCCAUCGAGUGAAUUGCAGAAAACCACCACAUUGACGCAUAGGUUUGCAGAAAGCACUCUUUUACGAAUUUAGGCCAGAAACCACUAAUUUUUUGUCUAAUCUUUUGCAAAAAACAUUGAUUGGACUAUUUGGACAUUUUAACCGCAAUUAUGACAUGUGGGGCCCGCAUUUGAUGAUGUGGCAAACUGGGCUUUUUCUAAAGAACCCUUCCUAAAAAAAAAGGAUAUCUCCCUUCCCUUCCCGAUCCAAUCGGGAUUCAGGCCCCCGCCGUUGUUCCCACAAGCCACCGCCGCCGGGGCCUAGGCCAAGAUGCUCGCCGCCUCCUUCCUACGAUGUGGCGGCUCUAUCCUCGCGCCUGCCAUGGCCACAACCUAGUCCAGGUCGACCCCGCAAAAAAAACCUACUCCAGGUCGAGGCCGGCGGCCACGGCCGAGCCGCACGGGUCGGCCGGCGCCCUGCUCCUGGAAGCAUGGGUGGGGGCUAGCGGCGGCUUUGGCCUCGGAAUCACCACUCAGAAUGCUCGUGGCCUCCUCCUUCAGGCAUGGCGGCAGUGUAACAGCUAGUGCACGGAUCGGCUGCGACCUCCCUGCAGCGACGGCGGCAUCGGAGCAAGCAAUAGCGGCGAGGAGCAGCACAAGCGCAAGUAGCGGCGCGGCCGCACGCAACACGAGCACGAGCAGCGGCGGCGGCGGGCAGCACCGGAGCCAAGAAGAGCAAGCAGCGGCACACAUCACCGAAGCAAGCAACGACACGCCGGCGAGCCGAACGGGCGCAAGCAGCAGCAACAGCGCACAACACGGGCACAGCCAGGCAGUAACCCUCGUCAUUGAGCUAUGCCGCCACCGGGCACCGGCGUGGGCGACAGCGCACGAGCGCGAGAUGGCCGGCGGCAGAGUUCGGCUGAGCUGGUGUGGCAAGGGCCCAAUUGCAUUUUUCUGUUCAAAUUGAAGGGUGCCUUUGUAAAAAUACUAGGGACCCCACAUGUCAUAAUCGCGGUUAAAAUGUCUAAAUAGACCGAUCAGCGUUUUUUUUCAAAAGAUUAGACAGAAAAUCAGUGUUUUCUGACUCAAAUUCGUAAAAGAGUGUUUUCUGCAAACCGUCUGCAGAACCUGAUUUUUGCCUGUGUUUGCGUGAGUCUAACUGCUGGAAAAAAAAAGGGCACGACCCGUGGUCUAAUAAGAGUUGUCUUUCCGUACUGUUGUCCUGAAGAGAAGUUUGACAGCAGAAAGAAAAAAAAAGAAAGAAAAAACGACCAAAGUGGGAGUCGAACCCACGACCUUCUGAUCCGAAGUCAGACGCGCUAAUCCACUGCGCUAUGCGGUCACUGUGCUGCUAAAGCAUUAACACGGUACUGGACUUCUAUUCAGCGAGAUAGCUGGUUUAUCAUGUUCAGAAUAAGGACGUACACACAAAGAUGGUCGCGCAAGGCCGGAACCAAUGAUCUCCAGGAGCUAGUAAUAAUUGUAAACCGUGCAACAGAUAAAUGCAAUAAAAUAUUAACAGAUUUCAGGGGGCGCAGAACAAUACCAUUCUGGUUAGAACCAGAAACACAGACAAUCACCAUUCACUGUGGUAGAUGCAAUAGAAAACUGAAUUAUAAGAAUGCUUCAUUGACAAGUCUGGAACUACGAUGCAACAUGCAAGUAAUUAAAUUUGAAAAGUUGUACCCCAAGGUGUUCUACAAGGCAGCAAAGAGAAAAGUCAGCGUCUUCUCAUUGUCAGCUACAACAAAGGGGUGCAAACAGGAAACACACUAAAAGUUGACUAUUAAGAAGACCACUUAUCAAGCGGUCAAAUCAAUUCUCCAGUAAAGCAAGUGGUGAUAUGAGGCAUAAAGAUUGCUAAAUAUCAAGUACAGAGAAGACCAUAAGGCGGAUGGGCAAAUAUUUCAGGAGCAAAGUAAAACGACUUGGUAACUGUAGCAUCAACACAGCCAGUAGCCCCUUCAGCCUGAAAGGUUAUCGAAACAAGAAUCCCAUUGUUAGAUUGUGGAGCAAAAUGAAGCAUUCUCAGGACGUUUGCAUUCUGAGCCGUCGGAUUGGCCGUCCAAACAAAUCCUGGCCGUUGGAUUCUUGAUGGACCGAUCGUCGCUGUUGGCUCAAAACUGAUGUUACAACCAAUUAAUAGUGUUGCUUCUUUCUUACUUCUGGUUUAUUUUCUUAUCUCGCUGAUUGGUGUGCCGUGCCCUGGGUGGUCCACCACUGUCAGUGACUCUGGAGCCCUGUGCGACCGGUGUAGGUACGAAUGGGAGAGGGGUCAUGCCACCGCCUGUAAAAUUGGGUGGCCGCCAGGGGCAAUUUCGUCACUCCAUGUUAUUGCCCUCGCGUGGCGCUUCGUGUGUGGCUGGUCCAUGCGUAAAGGCGAUAGAGUGAUUGGAUCGAACGAACCCUAGCCGACAACAUCGUUCCUCUGCCUUCCCUCUCUCUGGGCCGAGCAACCACCUCUCUGCUCCUCCGCACGGGAUCCUACUACCGAUGCUCGAGUCUUGGCGAGCAGCCGACGACCGUGGAUAAGAAGAUCCAGCGUGAGCCGCUGCCGAUGCAUCUUCUCCUCCUCCAGCGCAUCAUCCCCCGAUUUCCCGUGCUUCGCCUCCGCCCCGCUCCCUUUCCUGGCGGCGCUCCCUACCGCCUCCGUCACGACGUCUUCUCCUCCCCAUCGUCAAUGGAAGGAGAAAGGAGAAAGUGAUGGAACAGGCCUGGGGCAGCAACCUCACGAAAUGAUAUCGGCAGCAAAAAUAAGAUCAGAGCGUCAAAUAUAGAAGACACGAAGGAGGAAGGCCGCGGCUGCUUGACAAGCGAGGACAAGUCAAUCUGAUCUUCAUGCUAUGUCUAUCUCCGUUUGCUUAGAUCAUAUCAAUCCGGUCUCCACACUAUGUCUACCUCCGGUAAUUUCUUUCAUCUUUAAUGUAAAUAGGUAGUGGUUGAGAUCCAACAGCUGCAGUUUUUUAAGAUAUUAAAUCAAGGGCCGGAUGUUUCUGAUUAACAUGAGAAUUUCUAGCUUAUUUCCCUAUUUUUGAACCGUAAUUUUCUUUUAGUAUAUAUUCCCUCUGUUCCUAAAUAGUUGUCUUUCUAGAGAUUUCAACAACUGACUACAUACGGAGCAAAAUGAGUGAAUAUACGCUCUAAAACAUGUCUAUAUACAUCCGUAUGUUAUAGUCCAUUUGAGAUGGCUAGAAAGACAAUUAUUUAGGAACGGAGGGAGUAAUAGAUAUACGCUCCAAACACUUGACUAUGUUUUAGUGGAGUAGACAUGCGGAACAACACAAAGAACACGUGGGAGCCAGCCACCAGGGAUGGAGCUGGCUCCUCUAACUUGCCUCUUGCUAAGUUAGAAGCCUAACAACGGGUCGCUUUCUUUCUUCCAGGAGAAGAAAGAAAUGCGAUCUCGCCUCCUGCCGCCAGGGCAUCUUCCUCCGUCGCCGUCCUCCGACGGCUUCCCUCCGCUGAUGACCUUGGUCAUCGGUGGUGAGGGGGAUCGCCGGAUCCACGCGUGUGGAUUGUUUUAGGCAUUAUUUUUUUAGAAUUUUGGGUUGUUCAUUGUCAUGACUUCGGCAGUGGCAAUGGCGGCGCGGACUAAUAAAUCUUUAGAUCCUUCCCCAACGAGGCGAUCCGCUUUUGGGGUGGAUUUGGAACCAGACUGUUCAAGCAAGGAUGGUGCUGCGGCGGGGGAUCCUCAUGGUGGACCUGUGUCCUCGGGCUUCGCCGUUGCGUCGGCGUUUACUCCAGUGCCGGCAUGGAGCUUGGGAGGUAGUCCAGGAGCGGAUGCAGAUUGUAGUCUGCAUCGACGGCGUCGGGAAGAUGGUGGAUAUGGGUUCGUGGUUCGUGGCAGGCAGGUAUGGUUUCCUCCUCCAACAUCUUAGUUGGGCGGGGGUGUCAGAUCUGGAGUUCGACGGCGUGUCCAGAGUGUUGCCCCGGUCUGAUUCGUUCAAUGACAAUUGACGAGGAUACAGACCUGUGGUAGGGUCAUAGGCCUGAUCUAUACGUCAUACCCAAGGUCACUACCCUGGAAGAUAAAAAUACCAAGAGACAACAGGAGAGCCCUGGUCGAAUGUGUCGAGUGCAAUCCACUCGACGACCACAUCACUCGACGGUCCUCCUCCCUACCGUCACUCGACCAUAUGAAGAGUCACUCGACCUAGCGAAAGACCGGGAGUCAGAAGAUCGCGCAACGGCCAGACAUGCACUCCUUAGCCUUUAUAAGCAUUAAGAUGUUUAAGGCUGGCGUUACCAGUAACGCCCCUUACUUUAUGUACAUUAAGCCCCUUGUAAUGGAGGCGGGCAAGGGUCCUGGCGCACUCUAUAUAAGCCACCCUCCUCCUCUUGCACAAGGGUUCGCACCCCCUAUAAUACAACACACAUAAUCCAAUCGACCGCCUUCGGGUACCGAUACGUAGGGCUAUUACUUCCUCCGAGAAGGGCCUGAACUCGUAAACCUCUUGUGUACAUCUUCGCCAUAGCUAAGAUCUUGCCUCUCCAUACCUACCCUCCUUUCUACUGUCAGCCUUAGGACCACGACAGUUGGCGCCCACCUUGGGGCAGGUGUCUUAGCGACUUGUUGGUGAAGUUGCAAGUUUUACCGAUCAUCAUCAUCAUGGUUUCCGGCGGCGGAUUGGCUGAGGGCCACAAGAUCCGUCUCGGCGCGCUCGUUUUCGUCGCCGAUGACUCCGCGUGGCUUCAAGAAGCUCCCCUGGACACUGAGGCGCUCCCUGUCCGAGGGGCCACGCACUUCCGUGCGUGCGUUCGCGGCGUCCUUCUCCGGCAGCCGUCGACUCAGUAUCAGUCGGCUUCGAUGGUGUUUUCCCUCUCUGCUAUUCGCCGCCGCAAGCGGUCUGGUCGAUCGCGGCUUCAGCGGUGGGUGAAACACGCGGUGGCUCGCCAUUCGACCACCCAUCAAGUCGCGACAAUCGAGCCCAACGAAACUCUCCACGGCCUGUUCGAUUUGUCGACUGGCUCCACGGAGACCGCAUCCGAAUGCGAUAGCAGCGAUCCUGCGGUCGAAGUCUUGAUGGUCGAUGGGCCUCACAGCCCGCCCAGUUUCCGCCACGAGGGCGGCGGGGACGGAGGCGGCGAUCCGUUGCGCGUCCAUGAGGAAUACCGACCCGAGCCCCUCUCUUCACAGCAGAGGGAAGAACUUCGUCACCGCAACAUGGAUGCACUCCACACGCCCAUUGUUGGAGAGACCCCCGAGGCUCGGGCCUUGGAGGAGGUACGCUUGGCUAAUUUGGCUGAGCGCACUCGACUGGAUAACCUCCAGCGGGCUCUCGACGAGCGCGCUUAGGAGAGGAUCCAUGAGUCCAGUCGACGACAGCUUUUUCCGCCUCCACCUAAGGUAUACCGCAGUCCGAUUCAGAAUCUCAAAGCCGCGGCCCGAACAGCAGAGUUGAUCCAACCUUCCCAGUCAGAAGCUGGCAGAGGGUUGAUGCAGAUCCGGGCCCUGCUCAGGGUAGCAGGAGAGCAGAAUACAUCAGUAUCUCAGUCGCGGGAUAGGAUUCACAGCAGAUCCGUUGCAGCGGACACGAUUCAGUCGUCUCACAGCCGAAGAUCGCCUCCACAGCAUGAAGGCCGUGGGCAGUACGAUCAUCCACUCGACCAUGACAAUCGUUGUCGAGGACCCACGCCUCCUCCGAGGAGUGCGUCGUAUGUGCCUCGGCGGAAGAACGACAUGCGCCGUCACAGUGGCGAGCGCAGAGCUUCAGUUGAUCCAAGAGAGCCGGGCUUCGACGUGAGGUCUAUCCUCGUUCAAGGCCUGGUCGACCAGAACAAAGCACACAGAGAAGACCCUGGCAGAGAUCGUCCAAGUGGCAGCAGAGUGCAUGUUUCCGGUCACGAGUGUUUUAGCAGAGCCAUCAGGGCAGCGGUGAUUCCUCCCAACUUCAGGUUGGCGUCCGGGGUUAGUAAGUUCACAGGCGAAUCCAAGCCUGAAACUUGGCUUCAAGAUUACCGAGUGGUUGUGCAGAUUGGAUGCGGUAACGAUGAGAUAGCGAUGAAGCAUCUCCCUGUUAUGUUGGAAGGGUCGGCCCGAGCAUGGUUGACCCAGUUGACUCCGGGCCGUAUUCACAGUUGGGAGGAGCUAUCUCGGGUGUUCGUAAGAACUUUUGAGGGCACAUGCAAGCGACCAGCAGGGUUGCCCGAGUUGCAGCAUUGUGUGCAGAAGCCGAAUGAGACUUUGAGGGAAUUCAUUCAGAGAUGGACUACUUUGCAUCACACCGUUGAAAAUGUUUCAGAGCAUCAGGCAGUGUGCGCUUUCAAGGAAGGCGUCAAAUACAGAGAGUUGGUCUUGAAAUUCGGUCGGACUGUGGAUAUGACUCUGACUCGGAUAAUGGAGAUAGCCACCCGGUACGCUAACGGAGAAGAGGAGGAUCGACUCUGUAGCGGGAAGAGCAAACCAGUCGGCCAAGAGGCCGGUGGGGGUAACUCCAGUCGGAAACAGAAGUGUAAGGCCGAACCAGCAGCACCCGGGGAGAUUGCGGCAGUGAGUCUAGGAAAGUUUAAGGGAAAACCUAAGGGCCCUGGCCCCCUAAAAAGGUCAAAGAUCAAGCAGGAAAUGAUGUGUUGGAUUUGCCAUGCCACAUCCACACGAAGAAGGAUGAAGAAGGUAAUCUGAUUUACCCGAAGCAUACCACUCGACAAUGUCAACUCCUAAUCCAGCAGUUUUGAGUUCAUAUUCACCCGACGGAUCCCAAUGCUGCACCGACUCAUAUAUCAACAACGCUCGACAGCAAAUAGGAAGAAGCACUCGUUCAGUUCCUCUGUGAGAACAGGGAUAUCUUUGCAUGUAAACCUUCUGACAUGCCAGGUGUGCCCAGGGGACUGGCCGAGCACCAUUUGCGUGUCGACCCCAAAGUAAAGCCCGUCAAAGAGCACCUUCGGCGGUCCGCCGUACAGAAGAGGAAAGCAAUUGGCGAAGAAGUGGCUCGACUGUUGGAAGUAGAGUUCAUCCUUGAAAUCUACCACUCCCAGUGGUUAGCCAAUGUAGUCAUGGUUCCUAAGAAGGAUGAUUCACUUCGUAUGUUUAUUUAUUUCAAGCAUAUCAAUUGGGCUUGCCCGAAAGAUCACUUCCCUCUCCCUCGCAUCGAUCAGAUUGUUGACUCGACUACGAGGUGCGAGCGCUUGUCUUUCUUGGAUGCAUAUUCCGGAUAUCAUCAGAUCCGAUUGUAUGGUGGCGAUGAAAUAAAAACAGCCUUCAUCACCACAUUCGGGUGCUUUUGCUAUGUCACCAUGCCUUUCGGUUUGAAAAAUGCCGGAGCCACAUUCAUGAGAAUGAUUCAGAAGUGCCUGCUCACUCAAAUCAGUCGGAAUGUGGAAGCAUACAUGGAUGACAUUGUGGUCAAGUCUCGCAAAGGUUCCGACCUAUUGACCGACCUUGCAGAAACCUUUGCCAACCUGAGGAGAUACGAUAUCAAGCUUAAUCCGUAAAAAUGCACAUUCGGAGUUCCAGGAGGAAAGUUACUCUGUUUUCUCGUUUCCGAACGAGGGAUCGAUGCUAAUCCAAAAAAAGUUGAUACCAUCAUCCGAAUGAAACGCCCCAUGCGAGUGCAUGAUGUUCAGAAGCUGACUGAUUGUUUGGCCACCCUGAGUCGAUUCAUUUAUCGUCUCGGUGAAAAGGCCUUGCCCCUUUACCGACUGAUGAAGAAAUCUGAUAAGUUCGAGUGGACUGAAGAAGCUGAUGCAGUGUUUACAGAGCUCAAAACCCUGCUUUCCACCCAGCCGGUGCUCGCUGCGCCAAUCAGCAAAGAGCCUUUACUGCUUUAUAUUACAACCACUGGACAAGGUGUCAGCACAGUACUCAAGGUCGAGCGAGAGGAAGAAGGAAAAGCUUACAAGGUUCAACGCCCAGUCUAUUAUCUCUCUGAAGUUUUGACUCCAUCCAAGCAACGAUACCCACAUUAUCAAAAGCUUGUCUAUGGAAUAUACAUGACCAUGAAGAAGGUUGCGCAUUAUUUCUCUAACCACUCCAUUACAGUCAUCAGCGACACGCCACUAUCUGAAAUUUUGAAUAACGGAGACGCAACCGGUCGAGUGGCAAAAUGGGCGAUUGAACUCCUUCCAUUAGAUAUCAAGUUUGAGGCAAAGAAGGCUUUCAAGUCCCAAGCAAUUGCAGAUUUCCUUGCCGAGUGGAUUGAGCAACAAUUGCCGACUCAAGUUCACUCGGAGCAUUGGAGUAUGUUCUUUGAUGGCUCCAAGAUGCUGAAUGGUUCAGGCGCUGGAGUAGUAUUGGUAUCCCCCCGCGGAGACAAGCUUAGUUAUGUUCUCCAGAUUCAUUUUGAUUCCUCCAAUAAAGAAGCCAAAUAUGAAGCACUUUUAUACGGGUUGCGUAUGGCAAUUUCACUCGGCGUCGGUCGCCUUAUGGUCUACGACGACUCAGAUUUGGUGGUUAAUCAGGUGAUGAAGAAAUGGGAUGUUAGGAGCCCAGCCAUGACUGGUUACUGCAAUGCAGUGAGAAAGCUGGAAAAGAAGUUUGAAGGUUUGGAGCUUCACCACAUACCCUAACUGAAAAAUCAAGCCGCAGAUGAGUUGGCAAAGAUAGGAUCGAAGAGAGAGGCCAUUCCCCGAAAUGUGUUUUUGGAACAUAUUCAUUCACCUUCAGUUCAGGAAGAUCCUUUCACCGAAGAAUCACCACAACCCAAGAGUGCCACGGAUCCGACUGAAGUCGAAAUCCCAGUCGUGGUCGACUUAGUCAUGGAGGUUUUGGUCAUCACUCCCAACUGGACAGUACCAUAUGUUGCAUGCAUUCUUAGGAAGGAACUCCCAGAGGAUGAAGAAGAGGCUCGAUAGAUCGUUCGACGGUCUAAAGCCUUCACUGUGAUAAAAUGACAGUUGUUCAGAGAGAGUGUAACUGGGGUCUGCCAGAAGUGCAUCAUGCCAGAAGAAGGCCGAAUGAUCCUCAAUGAUAUUCACUCGGGGACCUGUGGUCACCAUGCGUCCUCUCGGACCAUCGUGGCCAAAGCAUACCGAGCCGGGUUUUACUAGCCGCGCGCCAAUGAGAUGGCAAAGGAAAUAGUGGACAAGUGUGAAGGUUGUCAGUUUUAUUCCAACAUGUCCCACAAACCUGCAUCAGCUCUGAAGACUAUUCCACUCGUCUAGCAUUUUGCUGUUUGGGGAUUGGACAUGGUUGGACCUCUGAGGACCGGCAGGAGCGGAUUUACCCACGUGCUGGUAGCAGUCGACAAGUUUACCAAGUGAAUCGAAGCCAAGCCCAUUAAAAACCUUGAAGCAAGUACUGCUGUGAGCUUCAUCAGAGAGUUGAUAUUCAGAUAUGGCGUACCGCACAACAUCAUCACUGAUAACAGAUCAAACUUCAACUCUGAUGAGUUCAAAGCUUUUUGUGCUUCCCAAGGCACGAGGGUCGAUUACGCUUCGGUCGCCCAUCCCCAGUUGAAUGGGCAGGCUGAGCGAGCGAAUGGAUUGAUUCUCAAAGGACUGAAGCCCCGGUUAAUGCGUGACCUCAAGCACGCGGCAGGAGCUUGGGUCGACAAGCUCCCAUCAGUGCUUUGGAGGCUGAGGACCACCCCCAAUCGGUCGACUGGACGGACUCCAUUCUUUUUAGUCUACGGAGCCGAAGCCGUUUUGCCGAGUGAUUUGCUCCACAACGCUCCCCGAGUCAAACUCUUCUCAGAAGAAGAAGCAAAGCAAGCUCGACAAGAUGCAGUCGACCUCCUGGAGGAAGAUAGAGAGAUGGCCUUGAUCCGAUCGACCAUUUAUUAGCAAGACUUGCGUCGAUUCCAUGCCAUGAACGUAAGGGGUCGUGAAUUCCAGGAAGGGGACUUGGUCCUCCGAGUGGAUCAGCAGAAGCCACACAAGCUCGCCCCGCUUGGGAAGGCCCUUUCGUGUUUACCAAGGUGCUCCACAACGGGGCAUACCGUCUCUUCAACGUCGAGCACAACAAAGAUGAACCACGCGUCUGGAAUGCGGAACUGCUCCGCCCUUUUUACUCUUAAGUAUUUAGACUGAUGUAAUAAGACGUACCUCUUAGUUUGAUUAUCAAAAGACAUAAUUUUACAGUCUUCCGAAUGAUUGUUGUUUAUUUCUUUUGUAUGUGUUGCCUUAGCUGCGAAUCUGUUUCUCCUAAGAUGAAGUUAUAAAAAUCCUACCGAGUGGUGAGUCUGCCUCCCACUCGGGGACUUAGCUGCAGCCCAGUGCUCGCCUAAAUUUGAAAAAUCCUACCGAGUGGGAGAGUGGUGAGUCUGCCUCCCACUCGGGGGCUUAGCUGUGGCCCAGUGCUAGUCUAAGUUUGAAAAAUCCUACCGAGUGGUGAGUCUGCCUCCCACUCGGGGGCUUAGCUGCAGCCCAGUGCUCGCCUAAGUUAGAAAAAAUCCUACCGAGUGCUGAGUCUGUCUCUCACUCGGAGGAUUAGCUGCAGUCCAGUACUCGCCUAAGUAAUAAAAAUUCCUCCCAAACGGCAACCCCCCGGGGGUUGCACCGUCAAGAAGAAGGAUGAGAUUGUGGUGAGCAGCACUCACCUAAGUUUGAAAAAUCCUACCGAGCGAUGAGCGACCCUCCCACUCGGGGGCUUAGCUGCAGCCCAGCGCUGGCCUAAGUUCGAAAAAUCCUACCGAGUGGUGAGCGACCCUCCCACUCGGGGGCUUAGCUGCAGGCCAGUGCUCGCCUAAGUUUGAAAAAUCCUACCGAGUGGUGAGCGACCCUCCCACUCGGAGGCUUAGCUGCAGCCCAGUGCUCGCCUAAGUUUGAAAAAUCCUACCGAGUGGUGAGCGACCCUCCCACUCGGGGGCUUAGCUGCAGCCCAGCGCUCGCCUAAGUUUGUAAAAUCCUACCGAGUGGCGAGCAACCCUCCCGCUCGGAGGCUUAGCUGCAGCCGAGUGCUCGCCUAAGUUUGAAAAAUCCUACCGAGUGGUGAGCGACCCUCCCACUCGGGGGCUUAGCUGCAGCCCAACGCUCGCCUAAGUUUGUAAAAUCAUAUCGAGUGGCGAGCGACCCUCCCGCUCGGAGGCUUAGCUGCAGUCGAGUGCUUGCCUAAGUUUGAAAAAUCCUAUCGAGUGGUGAGCGACCCUCCCACUCGGGGGCUUAGCUGCAGCCCAGCGCUCGCCUAAGUUUGUAAAAUCCUACCGAGUGGCGAGCGACCCUCCCGCUCAGAGGCUUAGCUGCAGCCCAGUGCUCACCUAAGUUUGAAAAAUCAUAUCGAGUAGUGAGUGAGGCCGCUGGUUGCCCACACCCCCCCACCCGGGGGCUGCACCGUCAAGAAGAAGGACGAGAUUGUGUGCACCCAACGAUUGGCCCCUUGCUGAUGACAGGAACGUCAAGACCAUUGCUGAGUACCUCGCUGAUGAGCUGAUCAGUGCUACCAAGGGAUCGUCAACAGGUCGACUGCUGACCCAUCUUCAACACCUGCAUCAAGUGAUGACAAAACCGAUCCAAGUGAAGAGCAGACUUCACUGGAAGAUAAACCCAACAUAUUCAAAGAUAAAUCCAGAGUUCCCUAACCGCAGAUUAAAAGUACUCGGGCACCAGACCUGGAGGAGUUUAAUGGUUACAAAAGCACUCGGCAUCCCGAGGCAAAUAAAGGUGAGGCAUAAUGUUUUUUCAAUCACUCGGCGGGAGAAGGACUGGCCGGAUCACAGAAGCUGUCAAGAUCGAUGCUGUCGGCAAUGCGAGUGGCUGCCUCGAGGAAGGUGUCCAUGAAGACUUGGAAAGAGUGCUUCUUAGUAUUCGCAACCUUGAGGGCCGCCAGCUUCUCUUCUUUAGCCUCCUUGCAGUGCACGCGAACCAAGGACAAGGUGACGUCAGCGCCACACCGGGUAGAAGACUUCUUCCACUCUUGCACUCGGUCAGGGAUUUGGUUGAGUCGAGUCAUCAGCGACUCGAGACUUUGAGGAAGUUCUGCCUGAGGCCAGAGUUCGGCGUCCACUCGGGCCAUCGCGGCCUUCAGCCGAGCCAGAUAGUCGACAACACCGUCCAAGCGUGAUUCCAGUCGAAGCAAGUUCAUCGCAACUUCAUCUUUCAUGGGACAGUUGAUAGGGUCGAGACCUGACAGAGUUCUGUUCCAUCACAACAAACAAUGAGUCGACAGUAUUGCAAAUCUCAGUCGACGAUAGCUAUCUAACUGAACAGUCAUACCUUCAAGCUUCAAGACAAGCUUCGCCGCAAGUUGUUCCAAAUGAGACUCUAGCUUGCCCGUCUUGGUCCUGAGACCAUCAACUUUAGCGGUCAAGUUCUCCUUGUCCUUCCUCAGUUUCUCGACUUCACGAUUGGCGUCCGAGACGGCCGUCUUUAAUUUCGCAUUCUCAUCCUCCAACUUGCCGAUUGAAGCUAGCUUCUGGUCCGCAAGUGUCGUCUUCUGGUCUGCAAGUGUCCUCUUUUUGAGCAGCAGCCAGGUCCUGGUCCUUCUUCUCCAACGCCUCCUUCAUUCUCUCUAAAGAAACAACACUCUUCAGACGAGCCUGAAGUUGGCGAUUUUCACUACGCACAUCUGCUUAUGUGAAGUCACUAGGUUCAAAGAGACUGAAUGAAAAGCAGCGAAAAGUCUACUAAGCAGACGAAACGGUCGAAUGGUUACCUCCCAUGAUAGCCGUCUCUUCUUGAGCAGUCUUGAGAUUCUUCUUAGCAAGUUCAAGGUCAAGUUCAACGCUGAUAUGCUUCUUCCUUAACUCGGAAAGACGAGCUCCAAGAUCACAAGACCUCUAUAGUCAGCAAAAGUGCCAUGUCAGUCGACAAGAAAUAAAAGACAAUCGACGGAGAGAAGCUAUUCUAAGACUAAUGUCGAAUCAAAUAUCCAACAAGUAGUCUCGGGGACUACACCCAGUGGGUGCACUUAGCAUGCCCCCACUGGUUCAGAACAAUACUCAGCAGGGUCUGCCCAGCGUGAGUUCAAAAAAAAUAGAUACAUUCUAAGACCUCAGUCGACUACCAGCAGUCGACCGUGGUCUCGGGGACUACACCCAGUGGGUGCACUUAGCGUGCCCCCACUGGUUCAGAUCAAUACUCAGCAGGGUCUGCCCAGCGUGAGUUCAGAAAGUCUACUAAGAUUCUACUCAAGUCGAGUGCAAUGGAAAUUUUUCAAAGCUCUAAGCAAAGAAACACCCCAGUGGGUGAUCAGAUACAAGAUAACAUUCGAAAGUUCAGUCGGAGUCUUGCUGACCUGAACAUUGGCCUGAAGGGCAGUACUGGCGUUGUAAGCCACUUGGCUGGGCUCGUGCACCACCUUCACUUGCUUCAUGACAAGGUUCACCUGGUGCAGAGCUUCCCUAGCAGCACUCGGCGAGUCAUCCGGAGUCUGAUACGCAGCAAAAAGUGAUGGCUGCAGAGCAGCCGAGGUAUUCGCUGGGUCGGAGGCGUGGAGCUGCAUUGGGGCAGCAUGAGUCGGUGUGGUCGAGCCCACCGGACGAUCAGUCGUCAGCGGGCUGGCGAAUGUGACGCUGGUCCGAACAUGCUCUCCAGAGCGUUCGACCACCACCUCGAGCGCCGUCGUCGAUGAGGAAUCUGAACCUCAAGCCUCCUCUUGCCAGCACUCCCACUCCUCCUCUUCCUCUCCUGUAGAGGCACUUCUUCUUCGUCAUCAGGGAGCACAACAACUUCUUGCAGAACUACAGAAAAGGAGAAAAUGUCAGAAACUCUAUCCAUUGACAGUCUACACGAUUCAACGAAGCUUGGCCGAUCAGACUUACCAACUCGUGAGGUGGCUUCUUUGUCUCCUGGCGCCUUGUCAAUGUCCAUGUCAGUGGCAGCAGAGGUGGGGCUGGAAAGACACAUGAGUUAGUGGGUCAGAACAAGAAAGUCUUCAGUCGACUUACAAAAAUAAAAGCAGGAUACUCACCCCGAAGCGACAGGGACGUCCAUCUUGAUUCGUGGCAGUGUCUUCUGGGCCUUGGGAGGAGAAACUUUAGGCUGCUUGGCCACCUUCUCCGUCGGCUCCGGAGUCGACGUCCGAGUGCGUUUCUGGGUAGUGGCACUCGGGGCCACACUUUUCCCACGCCCGCCAGACGGAUCAUGUUGCUGUUUGGAUCGACGUUCAGAGCGCGGCAGCGAGUCGACCUCUUCCUCCUCGUCUUCCUCCUCGCUCUCCUCCUCCUCCUCUUCUCCCAGGGACUCCCACUCACCACUCUCCUCCGCACUAUCCUCCCCCUCCUGGUCCUGCGCCAAAGCCUGUUCGCCGUUGGGCAUUGAAUGCAUCUCAGUGAAUACCUGCAAAGCAAAUCGAUCGAAGCAAGAGUCAGACAACAUCAAGUACAGUCAGAACACGAGCGGAAAAUAGUCGGAAUAGAGAAUGUACCUUGUCGGGUGGGUUGUCAUCACCGAAAGGGACGACUCGCCUGGAUCCUCUAGGGUUGUCUUGGUUGCCCGUGAUACCCUUCAACCACAAGGCUACGGUUUCGAGCAACACUUCUUCUGGAUGGACCCUAGCGGUGUCGUCCGGUCCGGAAUACAACCACAUUGGGUGAUCGCGGGCCUGGAGAGGCUGGAUGCGCCGACUGUGGAACACUUCCAGCAAGUCCAAGCCAGUAACGCCAUCAUUGAUGAGCUGGACCACUCAGUCUACCAACAUCCUCGUUUCCAUGGUCUCAGCAGCAGUAACUUUCAGUGGAGCGGGAGUCUGGACACGGUCGAAUGAAAAAGGAGGAAGACCGGUCGACUGACUUGGAGCCGCAACGUCCUGGAAAUAGAACUAGGACGACUGCCAACCCCUAACAGAUUCAGGAAGAGUCACAGUAGGAAAAGCGCUCUUAUUCCUCUUUUGGAUACCUAGACCCCCGCACAUCUGGAUAACAUGGGUUUUCGAGUCACUCGACUUCGCCUUUUUUACCGACUAGGAGCGAAUGGUGAAGAUGUGUUUGAAGAGACCCCAGUGCGGUCGACACCCUAAGAAGUUCUCGCACAUCGACACAAAUGCGGCUAGGUACGUGAUGGUGUUGGGGGAAAAGUGGUGGACCUGUGCACCGAAGAAGUUCAAAAACCCACGAAAGAAAGGGUGCGGGGGGAGCGAGAAACCCCGGUCGACGUGAGUGGCAAGCAGGACACACUCACUCGGUCGAGGUUGCUGUUCCGUCUCCCCCUUCGGCAACCUCGCCGCUCCCUUGGCAAUCAGCCUGGACUCCUCCAGUUCGGCCAGAUCCUCCUGCCGUACCGAAGACCGGAUCCAAUCGCCCUAUAUCCAGCCCGGCGGUAGCCCCGCGCGCGAUGACGAUCCAUGGCCCUGCUUCUUGCCCUUCGCCGCCCCCGUCGCCUUCUUAGCGUGAUCUAGCGCCGCCGUCUUGUCCUUCACCAUGGCGAGAGAGCAGCAGUGUCGGGAGCGGAGGCGCUGGACGCGGCAGAGAAACGGAGAAGAAAGAAGAAGAAGCAGGCGUGCACAGUGCAAGCGCCCCCGGUCCCGUCGCCUUAUAAAGGGUCACUUCUGAGUGACUGGCGCGUGGGGCCGAGCAAUCUCAUCAAAUCCUGCUACAAUUGCGCGCAGCGUACGUGGCGAAAAAGGCGGCGCGGUGAUCGAGGCAUCGCUACUUAUCCGAACCGCCAGUUUCUGCGCUCUCCAGCACGCACGCUUCCCCGAAAUUUCGUAUCCCGUGAAAUCCGGGAUUCACCGCAGACAAUCGUGCCCAAGAUCGCGCGCUCCAACACAACACUCAACGCAUGGGGUCACUAGUUCAAUCGACAGCUCUCUGAAUGGAUCAAGACGACCGAGUCGACACUGAAGUAGCAACGCGGGCGUUCAGUCUUGCAGGAAACACUCGCGAAGGCACAAAGCUCAGAAUAGGUCCAACUUUAUCCUACUUUCCACUCGCACCUUAAUCCAUUCGGGGCCUACUGACAAGGAUACAGAUCUAGGGUAGGAUCAUAGGCCUAACCUAUACGUCCUACCCAAGGUCACUACCCUGGAAGAUAAAAAGACCAAGAGACAACAGGCACUACUAGGGAAAAGCCUAGCAGCAUCGCGGGUUUUGGGUGUAUCAGUAGCGCGGGUGCCCGCGCUAUUGAUAUGGCGCCACAACUAACUUGUAGCAGUAGCGCGUGUUGACACACGCUACUGCUAUACAUGGUUAGCUGUAGCGUGCGUUGCAAACAGCGCUACUGCUAAUUAGCUGUAGCGGGUCUUAUACCCCGCGCUACUGCUAUUACUUUCAAAAACAAAAAAAAUCUCGAUCCCGUGCGUGCUGUCAAUUGCAGCAAUGGUAAGAUCUAGCGAUGAUUGGCGUCGCCGGAGGCAUGAACGGACAAUGAAAGACCAGAUCCAGCAGUGGCUGUUGGAGAGGGCCUGUUUCUAUGGCAGAGCCAGGCCGCGGCGUGGGGCUUCUCUUCCCGACCAUGCCAGAUAACUCCGGGUCAUCCAUGGCGACGACCUGCACAGGCAUGGACAUGGGAGGGUGAGUCAAACCAGAGGGAGAGAGAGAAAAGGAAAACCGAGGGAGAGAGGAAGGUGAUGUAGGGAGCAGCGGAGCUAGUCACCGGUGGCGAGGUGCUCCGGUGUGGUGGCGCGGGGCGGCGGCCUCCUAGACGUCGGUGGAAGACCGGCGAGCUCCUAGACGCCGGUGGUGCGAGGCGGCGGCCUCUUUCGGCGCCAUGGAGGAGGAUGGGUGCAUGGGCAAGAGGUCCAUGUGAGAGCGUAUGGAAAGUGACAAGAGGGAUUUGGGGGAGGAGAUGGGGAUUCGGCCGAGGAUAUGGCGACUUCACCUACCUCGUACUUAGUAGUAGCGAGGGGUAUAAAACCGCGCUACUACUAUCAACUUAGUAGUAGCGCGGGUUUAUACCCCUUGCUACUACUAUGGCAUGUGUCGGUGGGCACGGUAGAGACCGCUUAGUAGUAGCGAGGGUUAAAAACCCGUGCUACUGCUAAUUAGCAGUAGCGCUUCUUUUUGUGCCGCGCUGCUGCUAAGAUUUUGUGUAUAAGGUUUUCCCUAGUAGUGAGGAGAGCCCUGGUCGAAUGCGUCGAGUGCAAUCCACUCGACGACCACAUCACUCGACGGUUCUCCUCCCUACCGUCACUCGACCAUAUGAAGAGUCACUCGACCUAGCGAAAGACCGGGAGUCGGAAGAUCACGCAACGGCCAGACACUCACUCCUUAGCCUUUAUAAGCAUUAAGAGUGUUUAAGGCUGGCGUUACCAGUAACGCCCCUUACUUUAUGUACAUUAAGCCCCUUAUAAUGGAGGCGGGCAGGGGUCCUGGCACUCUAUAUAAGCCAUCCUUCUCCUCUUGCACAAGGGUCGCACCCCCUGUAAUACAACACACAUAAUCCAAUCGACCGCCUCCGGUCACCGAGACGUAGGGCUAUUACUUCCUUUGAGAAGGGCCUGAACUCGUAAACCUCGUGUGUACAUCUUCGGCAUAGCUAAGAUCUUGCCUCUCCAUACCUAUCCCCCUUUCUACUGUCAGCCCUAGGACCACGACAGCAAUGGCUUCGCCUUUAUUGGCGAGCCACCUUGGAGGUCCGCAAAGCUGCAUAUCAGCGACGGAGCCGCGUCGAGCUCGGGUGUGGAGGUGAUCCGUCAUUUUCUUCUUUGGUGGCUGCUAUGGUGGUGCCAGAGGCAAGUGACGGGCGUUGGUGUCAAACUCAGACGAUUCUUCCGUCUUGUUUGUAAUUUUACUUCUUGGCUAGUGUUUCUGUGUGCAAAGGCUAGCGUUCUGCUGUCUUUUUAGUUUUGUCAGGUCGGUACUCGGUAUGUACGUGGUUUGCAUUAUAAUCCUUAUGAUAUAAAUGAGACAUAUAUUAUCAUGAAAAAACGCAGAGAACACGUGUGAGGAUGACGUGUACACUUCGUAAACGACGUAAAGUUUCCUAGUCGGCGGCCUUCUCGCGCUGGUCGCUGCACGAGAGAAGUGCUAGUCAAUUUCUGCAGGCCCUGCUUUUGCUCGGCUGCCGCACAUCGGAAGCGACGAUAGAGCGAGAGUGUGGCGGUUACAAGAGAACGAACAAUCUGGUGGGUAGUGGGCUCCAAACGCACGUGCAUGCGAGUAUACUUUUCUUGAGCUGGUCGACGCGUAGGGUCAAGCAUGGUUUGUCUACGCACAUUGCAUGCAUAUCUUGCGGUGUGCAGAGAUCGUACUUGCUCGCUCGGUAGAACCCAACCCACUAUAUAAAUGAGACGCACACGCGUCGAUCCAGACAUCCAGUUCCACUCUGACAAACAAGAGUAUUCCACUGCCCAUCUGUGCAAGCAAAGAUGGCACGACUGCUCCUCCUCGUCCUGGCCACCUCACUCGUUGCGCUGGCGUCGUGCCAACGUCUUCCGGUGCUCGCACCGGUCACCAAGGACCCCGCCACCUCCCUCUACACAAUCCCCUUCCACCA
rnacentral:lncRNA from 1 species